rnacentral:lncRNA from 1 species
UGCAGCAGCUCGGCUGGGAGCGCUACUACGAGGACCCCGCCCUCGUGCAGUUCCACCGCCGCAGCAGCGUCGACCUCAUCUCGCUGCCCGCCGACUUCGCCCGCGUCGGCGCCGUGCACAUGUACGACAUCGUCGUCAAGAACCGGGACUACUUCACGGUCGUCGACGCCGCCUAACCGUUGCUCGCCGUCGCCACCCGGUCGUUUGGCUUGGCUUUAGGCCUGGCCAGUUGUAAGUGUGCUCUUUUAUGGUUUGUGAUAUGAUGCUUGCGUGUGUGCUAUAUAUACAUAUAUAUGUAUGUGUGUGUCGAAGUAUAUCUUCUGUGAUCUUGUCAUCAGUGUGUAAUUAUUGUUACGAUUUGAAUCUGUGGGUACUUUGUUCGUCUACGUACGCGAAACGAAGGUUCCUACAGCUACAGCUAACGAAUAAAGACACGCACGCAUGAUUUGAGCGUGUCGCCUGCUUACUGCAUCUGUUCCAAAUUGUAGGUCGUUUUAGUUUUUCUAGAUGUACAUAUAUUAUUAUGCAUUUAGAUAUAGUAUAUGUCUAGAUACAUAAUAAUGUCUAUAAAUCUAGAAAAGUUAAAAUGACCUACAAUUUGGAACGGAGGGAGUACAUCUCUGAUAUUGCAUGCAUGGAUUGUUGAUGGACGUACGGACCAGAGAACAUGCGCAGCUGAUAGAUGCACUAAUUUCUCUGAUGAUAUGGUGAUUUUUCACUCAUUGAUUGGACAUAUGAAUAGCUCAUCAUCCAUCAUCCUAGCUAAUAGCAAGGAUAUGACAUCUCUAGCUGGAUAUAACUCCAUCCUGCAUUGGUUGCCAUGCAAAAUUCUGCACACAGUACCAUACCCUGGUGGUAUUGGCUUCUGCUAACGCUACACCGAAUUUUGUAGCUUGCACGCAACUUUCUGUUACAAAAAAUCAAAAAGCUUUUAGGUGUUUAGCUAUUUUAAGGAAGUUCAACACCCACAUUUUUAAGUUACAUCAAAUCAACUUAGAGAUUACACCAAAAAAUCAUUGCGACUCUAAGAUAAGGAUAUCUAUGCUGGAGGUAACUCCUGGAUUGGUUGCCAUCAAAAUGGAAAAAACUAUCGGGCGAUAGGUCGCGCUGCUGUAUAAGGGCACGACCCAUGCAGCGGCCCGGUGGGAGGGAGGUGGGCUGCUGCGGGCCAAGCUCCUAUUUUUACGUUUCAGCUCUAAAAAAAUGUGAAAACUUUGUUAUGUGGUGUCCAUUUUCAAUUCCGUUUGCGCUAUUGCGUUUUUUAUGAUGAGAUCUAUAAAACAAGAUCCAUGAUGCAUUGUUGACGCUCAUUAUAUAUUCACACACUUUUAGUGCUAUUUAAUUAGUGUUUUCAUACAUAUUGUUAUAUUAACCCGCCACUUGGCACUUAAAAUAACCCUAUUUUUUAAGCCGAACAGCAGGGGAGCCUCCUACUAGAUCUUUUCAUUUUAUAUAUAAGAAAGAAAAUAUUUACAUUUUACAAGGUCCUAGGCCCAACGGGAAGAAAAAGGUAAAAAAACUAAGAAAUAUUACACAACCAAAUUUCUAACUCCAUCUUUAAGGAAGGCUUUGCUCUGUGUAAGAGAAGCUUAAGUUUAUCCCUAACGAUCUGCUUCCAUCUUCGCAAGGAAAGGGAGAUAUUGUCAAAAAUGACUUCAUUAUGGUGACACCAAAUUGCUCAUGAGGCCAGAACGAAGAUUUCCCUGAAAAUUCUUUGCCCGAAAUUUCUUCGUCCUUCAACAAUCAUAUCCAAAUGUGGGAGGUUUUGAAUCCAGCUGACGAAGAGUAGGCGCCAGCACCACUGACUGAAAGUGCAUGAGAAGAAUAGAUGAAACAUUGUCUCUUCCGAGCCUGAGUGGCAUAAAGCACAACUGUAAUCGUCAAGCACUCUCCUAUCACUCAAAAGAAGCCAACAAAAGAAUUUGUGACGCCCCCGGCAACAUGACUUUCAUAUCCACCUGAAGACCGGGCUCACAGGAUUAGAACCCUGCAACUGUGUGUACACUUUCUUAUUCUUAGGGCUGAAAAGAUUUGACCCCCAAAUAUAACUCCACUAAUCCUCCUCAUUUGUCAGACUCUAAACCAAGGGUUAAUUGAGAGAGCUGUGACCAUUGCUCAACAACAAUGUCAGACAGAGCGGUAAAAAAAAUUCUUGUAUUCAUCUUGUGCCAUGAACUUUUCAACUGAGAUGUUCUGCUCCUUUGUAAAGGAGAAAAGCUGGGGGUACUGCCAUUUUAGGACCCCUAUGUCCCAGGUAUCUUUCCAGAAGCAAACAGAUGAUCCAGUUUUGACCUUACAAGAGGCUAUCAUCAAGUAAUUUUUAGAAAGGGACAUAACAUCCCUUCACCAGAACGAUCCUACUGGCCAUUUGAUAUGUGGCACCACUCGAUUUGAGUACAGGCAUUGCCAAGUAAGGGUGACCCAAGGAAUGUCAUCAUGGUUAUAGAAUUAAUGCAAGUGCUUGAGCAAAAGAGUUGUAUUUUGGGUUUUAAGGUCAAUGAUGCCCGGUCCUCCUUGGUCUUUAGCUUUGCAGGCCUUUUUCUAGGCUACAAGACAUCCUUCUUUUUUAUUUAUGUCCCCUCUAUCCCAAAGACAGUGCUUUCUGUAGACAUCAAUUUGCUUAAUGACACUAGCUGGGAACUUCAGAAUGCCUAAGUAAAAUUUUGGUAAGGCUGUCAUGACAGAAUUGACCAUGAUUAAUCUACCAGCAUAUGCCAAAAGGCUACUAAUACCCAUCCUUCUUCUUUCAAUUAUAUUUAGGAGUGGCAUAUAUUCAUCCACCUUAGGUCUGGCGGUUCCAAGGGGUAAGCCCAGGUAAGUGAAGGGCAUUGACCCAACCUGACAGCCCACCGCAUUGGCUAGAGCAGAAAUCUUCUGAGGCUCAACAUUAAUGGGCACUAGGCUGGAUUUGGAGAAGUUCACUUUCAGUCUAGUGGAUGCUGCAAAUGAAUGAAGCAGACCUUUUAGACUGAGAAGUUCUUCUUCUGCUGGCAUUAUGAGUAGAGUAUCAUCUGCAUAUUGUAUUAUAGGAAAGUCCCCUCCAAAAUUUUCCCCCAGUAGAUGCUUAAGAAUGCCUGCAGCUGCUGCAUUAUUAACUACUGACUGAAGCAAAUCUGCAGCCAUAACAAAAAGUAGAGGUGACAAAAGUACUGAUGAUGACAUUUACAUUUAAAUGGUUUGCCUGAAACACCAUUAAGAAGUACUGAUGAUGGCCCUGAGCUGAGAAUCAUGCUGAUCCAGUGAAUCCAUUUGUUAGAAAAUCCCUUGUGUUUGAACAUAUCUAGAAUAACCUGAUGCUCAAUUUUAUCAAAAGCUUUUUUGAAGUCCAUGUUCAGAAUCACUAGUUCUUUUUGCUGUGAUGACAUCAAUGCAUCGACUGAAAAUCCCAAGCUAAACAAUCUUGUAUGGUUCUACCCUUGAGAAACCCAUAUUAAUUAGUGUGUAUGACAGAUAAAAUCACCUUUUGCAGCCUGUUAGAUAAUAACUUAGUGAGCAGUUUAAGUAAAUAAUUCAACAAUGAGAUUGGCUUGUAGUCAUUGACAGACUGAGGACUAUAUUUUUUAGGAAUCAGGGUUAUUAAAGAUCCACUGAUACAUUCCAAAUCCACUGUAACAUUAGCAAAGCUAUCACAUAAACUAUAGAAAUCUUCUGCUAUGAUAUGUCAGCACUUUUUCAUGAAGAAACCAUUAAAUCCAUCUGGUCCAGGAGCAUGAUCUGGGGGCAUCUCCUUAAGGGAUAAAUCUAUCUCCUCUUUGGUGAAGGGGUCAUCCAAGAUGGGCAGCUGUACUGACUGGGUGAUAGAAUUGAGAUCAAGAAGCAUUCCAGUGUAUUCUGAUACACCCAAUCUAUCCUUGAAAGAGUUCCACAAAAUCCCAGCCUUUAGGUCAUGGUCAAAAAUAGGUUCUCCAUCAUCAUUAAUAAGAGAAGCACGAAUUUCUUCUAAAGGAAUGAGUUGCCAUUGCCUGAAAGAGACUGGAAUUCUCAUCACCAAAUUUAACCCACCUGACAGUGGAUCUUUCUUUCCAAUAAACCCUUUUAGCCUCAAGAAGUUUUUGGAGAUAAACCUUAACAAUCUUUCUGAAGUUUGAUUCAACCAAGCAAAGACUUCUCUGAUCUUCCAAACCAUCAAGCAUUGCUAAAACCCAAUUACAAUUGCUGAUCAGUUUAUUCAGCUUUGAUAAUUCUUUACUCCAUAGUUUCGGACCUUUCCUGAGCUGCUUGAAUUUUCAACUAAUAGUUUUUGUCAUGUUACUGAAGAAAGGGUUAGAGUCCCAAUGAAGUUUCACUGUGUCAAAAAAACCUGGAAAUUCCACCAAAUAAAUUUCAAACCUGAAAAUAGAAGCUCUAGGGAUAUGUGAAUUCAUUUGCACAACAUAUGGUAUAUGGUCUGAAAUAGGUCUGGAUAAAGGAUACGUGAGUCCAUGAUGGUGAAGUGAAAACCCAAUCUAAUUUCUCUAGUAGAGGAUCAGCUUGCAUGUUGCUCCAAAUAUACUGUCGUCCUUCAAAGGGUAUGUCAACCAAGUCAAGGUGCUGUAUAAGAUCAUUGAAAAGCAUCAUAUCACCCACAUUACCACCUGGCUUAUUUGGUGAUCUAAUAAGAUUAAAAUCCCCGCAGCCUCGGUGCUAGCUUGGUCCUUGAAUUCAUGGCGGUUCUUGUUCAGACGUGAGCAGCGACGAAGAAACUUUGUAUCCAGAAGUCCUCUAGGCUUCCUAGCACGCCUCUCACGGGGGGUCUUGGUGGCUAGCAUAGCAUCAAUGAUCUUGACAGCAUCAUCAUAUAUUAGAGCUCAUUGCUUCCACAGGCGCCAUCGGAUCAACUAGAGCCUUGGCCAGAUUUCAAAGAGCAUCACAAUCAGCAAAGAAAGAAGGGACAAGAGUGUCCAAAUUGAUGAUAAGACAAUUAUGAUGUGCAAAGGAUUCAAAAGAUGGAUUAGAAAGGAAUAGAAAUGAGCGAUUGAUCACCUUCUGCGACACUGAAAGUAGAGGAAUCAGUUCAAGAUCCACUGCAGGUUCAUCCACUGGCACGUUAGACCUGAUCAAACUGCAUGAAGCUCCAAAAUCCUCUGCUGCAGGUGACAGUUCUGCCUGACUCCCUAUAGUGUUUGACUGGUUGUCCUGCUAAUCUAGACCCCGUUGAUCAACUGGAGGCAUCUUCUCUUGAACACCAGUGGCUCCUCCAGCCGCUGGCAUGAAGCCCACACCCCCCAUCUUGACAUCAGAGCUCUUAGUAUGAACAUCCACAUGGAUGGGCAUCCAGCGAGGAGCCGGGUGUGGCAGAGGAUGGGCAGGGCCAUGCUCUGGUGGUGGUUGCUCAUCCGCCCCAACAACAACAUCAGAAGCUCUGAGAAUGUAGAUCGGAACAGUGAAGGUCCUGACCUUUGGUGCAUCUCCCACCAAAACAACAAUAUCAUCUGGAAUGUCUUGUUCCUCGUUAACCAAAGCCUUUGCUAUGAUUCUAGCAACUGUAAUAGACUCGUGCACAUGAAGCAACUGAGCAAAACUACAGAUGGACUUAGCUAUCAGAGAUAAAGAACAACCAUCCAAAGGAUACAUCAGCAUGAGCCAAACAACUCGAUCCAUUCACUACAAGAAAUCUUCCAAUCUAUAACGAACCCAAAAGUGUCAUAAACGCAUUUUUUUGUCAUUAACCAUGAUUUAUGAUGCGGGAGUGACGAAAACACUUCGUCAUUAGUCGAGUGUAAUAAACCGCGACUAGUGACAUUCCUUAUUUCCCUGAGUCACUAAGACUAUGACGCCUACGAAUCAUCAAAUAGAAAUAUCAUAAAUUGGAUCCUACUGUUUUGCCACGAUGGAGAGAAUCCGAUGUGGCAUGACAAUUGUCACAAAUUGUUUCGUCAUAAAAUGAAUUUGGCCCAUUUGUUGUUGGGUCCAUCCCAAAAUUUUUUCCACAGGCCAAUGUUGUUCAGAUAGCCCAAAAUUGAUUUUGGUAUGCCCAUUUGUUAUUAGGUCGAGCCCAAAUUUGUUCCCACAUGUCAAUGUUGUUCAGAUAGCCUAAAAUUGAUUCCGGUAGGCCCAUUUGUUGUUGGAUCGAGCCCAAAAGUUUUGCAAAUUGUUUGCGGCCCUUUUAUUCCUGAUUUAUGAAUGAAAUUGACUUUUAGCACAAUUAUAUGUGGGCUAAGUCUACUUAAGGAAAACUUAAAUUUAACCAAUCAGGCCUGACAAAUAAUUGAUUUCAUUUCAGUUCCGAUCCGGUUGGUAAAAUAAUAAACAUAACACACAUAUUUUUAUGUAUAUAAGAAAAUAAAUUAUUGUUCCCAUCGAGAUAACCGCUACCAUAUUGUUCAUCACAUAUCACAAACUAUUACAAGAUAACUGUCUCAUAAAGAACAAAGGUUAACAAAGCUGCAUCCAGGUCAUAAUCUCAAGAGACAAAAUAGAGCAUUGAUCUUAACCUCUUGCAGAGGUUAGAAGUUGACGAAGGAGUGCUUCAGUAUCUUGUGUGACCGUCUUCAAGUUCUCAAUCUCGGCUAAUUGCAAUUUGUGAUUUGAUUCUAAUUCUUCUGUCUUCUUCUUCAAGGUAGCUAACUCUUGCUGGUGAGCAACAAACCACUAUCGAAGUUGUACCCCAUCAUGUUUGUCGGCGUCAACUUGCUCCUCAUCAACACUGCUGCAUAAGAUUUGGUAGAGCUUCUUGCGUAGUCCGCUGCCACAACACAUUCUUGCAAGAAGAACCAUUGAUUUGAGAACUUCCGGCUAGCAACAGUGGAUCCGAAGUCAGAUUGUGAUCUUAUAAUUGAUUUAAACAAAGGAAAGAAGGAACGUCAAUAAUCAUCAUGUGUUUAGUUUGUUACCCUGGAGCUAGACUGAAAAGGAGCGACUACAAAUGUUGACCCUCUGGUCGGCUGAAACAGGAUACAGUCAAACUUCAAUUGAUGCAUUUGUUCAAGUAUAAAUUAAGAGCGGAUAAAUAAACAAGCACAAGAACAUGUGGCAAAGGUUGAGAUCAUUCGCAAACUAAAACAAUUUCAUCUAUUAAGUUCUACAAACCACAUAAACAAUUUGACUUGACACAAAAAUAAUUAUUAGAAAAGGUGAAAGAUAAAGGGGAUCUGCUGGAGCAGUAAUUUUUCACCAACUCUACCAAUAGGGUACAACAGAUCCAUAUUCCCCGAUCUAACUACAAUAGUGAAAGACAAAGAGCAUAGGGAAGCAAUCUAGUAAUUUCAUCUAUUAAGUUCUACAAAGAUAAAGGGGAUCUAGUAGAGAAGUAAUUUUUCAUCAACUCUUGCAAUAGGGUACAACAGAUCCACAUUCUGCAAACCAACUACAAUAUUGAAAGCCAAAGAGCAAGGGGAAGCAAUCUAAUAAUUGAAUUUAGCAAUACGGGGAGGAGAUCACUGACUUGAUGAACAUAGAGAGAAGGAGGUGCCGAAUGCUGCCUCGAUUGAGCAUCCCGGGCAUGCGCCGCUUCCUCAGUCUUCUUCGCAUGUACUCGAGCACGGCAGCCGCCGGUGGCAGCCUCGGGGAAGUUGAUGGAGCAACAGCCUCAAACCAUCUUGCAGCUUCAAGCCCAUCACUAAGGUAGCCCACCGAAAGUCUCUUAGGUAGCCCAUUACCCGUCGAGCUUGACGACGCUGCCGAGACCGCACUUGCUGCCGCUACCACCGCCGCAGAUCUACUAGGGCUAUUCAGUGGGAAGAGGAGAGGGGGCUAAUUUUGAAAUUACUAGGCGGGAUGUGGGAGGCUUGGAUCCCCUCUUUUACUUAUUUUAGUAUAUAUAAUGGGGGAGGACCCGGAGGAGGAGCAGGGAAUUUAAAAUUUCAGAUCCCACCUUUGUGCUCGGUAGCGGGAGACGGAACUUUUUGGAAUCCACCAUGAGACCUAGGUCAUUGGCAAGUUGGACCGCUUGGGACUCGAACCCAAGUGUCAGUGACCUUACAUAAAUGAGCGGUUCCAGAAGGGAGUCUGGGAUAGUCCGUGGCAUCACGGCAUUGAUGAGCACUCCACGGAUUAUCCUCCUUUGUAGAUUCAUGUUUGCAGGAUGAUCCGGCUAUUGCAUUCCAAUUGUGCUUCAAUGCAACAAAUUAAUUUACUAUUUUGACUAUUUACAUGAUAAAAUACACUUAAAUAAAACAUUAAACUAUAGUGGAUCUGGGUAGCAGCCUCCUAAUCUUUACUCAACAUUCAAGCUGGAAGCACGUGGAUCUUCUUGAUAACUUCGGGAUGGUGGUAACAUACGAACACAAAAUCCUCUGUGAGUAUUUCGUGCAUCGAUAUUAGCGCUAUGAGAGACAUGCACUUCUCCUGCAAUUGGGUGCAGUUAGUCUCAAAUGCCAAUCGUAGAGAUAUGGUCACAAUUUUCAUGCACUCCAUGAACCACAACUUUGAUGCAUAGUGCAGCUUCAAACGUUCAACGUAGUACAUGUCGGCGAGUGAGAGUAACACGGGCUAGACGUUGACAGGGGUGUCCCAUAAAUCAGCCUCCUCUAGGAGUGAUCCUUCGUAGGCAUAUUUGAUCAGCAGCGUGAACCCAUCAGGGUUGCUUCUUUAAUUGAAACAAUUUAUGACUUUGACUCCACUCGCUGCCAUAGAGAAAUGCAUCCAUCACAUAAGAUAGUGCCACUACAUUGGCCCGACUCGCUCGAAUCACCUGACUACCUAUGUCGAAGACAACGUCCACAGGGGCUUAGGCUACAAUUGUUGUGCAUAUGCUUCUGGCUACUGAUGAAGGUGGAACUUCAAUGCAGUCGUCCUCCAAUACUGUAAUAGUGCAGGAUAUGUUUACACGACCGGAAUGGUCCCACACACGCUCAAUCUCAUGAUGCCCCACGUGGCAGUUAAAGCCUUGUUCUAGAUUCCCAUUCCUGAAUUCAAGUUCCUUUACACCUUGAACUCGAAACGUAUCAUCAUAAUCGGUUGGGUCUCUAGCCACCGCAUGGAACAAGACUCGUACCUCCGAGCAAGAAUUCAUAGGGUUGGCCAUGCUAGCGUAUAUGUGAGGAUGUGUAUUCAUAGCAACGAGAAACCUACCUUUUGCGUGCUGUUCACCAGAAUGACGAUGACGGAAAUUCCUUCUGGUCCUGCUGGUGGGUACCACGGAUCAUGAAUUCCCAUAGGAUAGCAACAUAUCCUCCAUUGACGGCCUCCGAUCAUGAAUGUACUGGAUUCCUUGUAUUGCCAAAUAGUUCCUUCUAUUUUUGCUCCCGUGCUUGAGGUUGAGAAGUCGACUUGCGAUGAAUGGAACAUGUUAGGGUGUAAUGCCAUAACUGCAAAUGACAAUGAUUGACUUGUGGAUACACUGCCUCUUAUAUGUUGGAGUGUGUCAUUCCGAAAUGGCCAUUCGUGAACUUCUGUUACCAGUCUUCAAUGGACACAUCCCUACAAUGUGCGGAUAAGCACGUUGUUCCGAUAGUGGUAGUCAUGAACGCCCGUUACUAGUCUUUAAUGGCCUGUUCUAAAAUGCCUUUUCAAUCUUGAUUCCGACCUUUGGCGGCAUUCGGUCCACCAUAUUCCACCUAGGCCUUGUUGCAUUGGCUAGUUCACGUUUUUCAGGCUCCGCUUGUUGGGAUACGAGGUAGGUUACACUAGCGCAAAUCAAAAUUUCUACCGCGUAAAACCAGGAAGAACUGCCGUAUAAGGAUCACGGGAUUACCACUUGACGCACUACUGGUGCGGAAGAUGUAGAUUUGCGUCGAUGCAGCGAAGUGGAUCAGCGUAGUCGUACGUAGUCGAUCACAUCGACGUCUAGCAGCUCCUCAGCAGCUCGUCCACGUGCAGCAAGAUCUCCCUCGUGCUGCGGCUCGUCGGUGGCUCGUCCAAGUGCUGCAGGCGCAACACCUCCAAGGUAUCCACACCUUCAAGCCGGACUGCUAGGUCCGCGAGUUGCAACAGGCGAGGGCGUGGGAGGCACAGCAGAUGUGUUUCGCCAAAAAGGUGUAAACCCUAGGGCGCCCCCACCCCUCUAUUUAUAGAGGUUCCUAACGGGCCUCUAGGUCCGAGGCCCAUUAGUACUUCUAAACCUAAUCCAACUCAGAUCACAUCCGAAUUGGGCUUCCAGCCCCUUAAGUGUGUGACCCUGUGGGUUCGGAUACGUAUAGACAUGGCCCGAGUACUCCUACUCGGCCCACUAGUCGGUAGCGGCCUCUAGCAAGACGUGCCAACUCCUAUACGCACACGAAGAUCAUAUCAGACGAACCAUCACAACAUUAUAUACAUGUUAUUCCCUUUGCCUCACGAUAUUUGGUCUAGCUUCAAGCCGACCGCUCUUUCUCGAUCCUGUGAUUCGGAAUCCCUUUGUAGGUUAACUCUUAACCGUACGUAGCAUGGCCAUGCAUUUUCGGAUCCGAUCACUCGAGGGGCCCAGAGAUAUCACUCUCAAUCAGAGAGGGGCAAAUCCCAUCUUGAUUGACCAUGUCUCAUAGCAUGCUUCUUUACAAACCCGAAAGCUACCUUUAUAACUACCCUGUUACGGCGUAGCGUUUGAUAGCCCCUAAGUAGGUCGAUCCACAUCUUGAAUACAUGCGACAAUCAGGUCUAAGGACAAAGCGUAUAUGUUGUUUAAAGAGAGAACCACUUCUCGUGUUGGGUCAGUCCUAGCACAUGUCUCCACAUGUGUCCACAUUAUUAGUUCAACAUCUCCAUGUCCAUGACUUGUGAAACAUAGUCAUCAACUAAUACAUGUGCUAGUCUAAUAUUCAUAUGUGUCCUCACAUGAACUCCGACUAGGGACAACUUUAGAAUAACCAUACAAGUAAAGAGUUUCACAUACAAUUCACAUAAUUGCAAAUCAAUUCAAGUAGCCUUUAAUGGAUAUUCAAUGAACACAAUAUACAAAUCAUGGAUACAAAUGGAAUAUCAUCAUCUCUAUGAUUGCCUCUAGGGCAUACCUCCAACAGUCUCCCACUUGCACUAGAGUCAAUCUAGAAGGUACCUAAUACCCAUAGCUCUUACAUGCGCAUCAUGCUUAGCCUGCGGGAGUGGUUUUGUCAACGGAUCAGAAAUGUUCAGAUCUGUGUGUAUUUUGCAUGUCUUGAUCUCACCCCGGUUAACGAAGUCUCGAAUGAGAUGAAAUCGCCGCAUUACGUGUUUGUUCUUCUGGUGGUUCCUUGGCUCCUUUGCUUGCGCAAUUGCCCCAUUAUUAUCACAGUAGAGAUUCAAUGGGCUGGACACAUUCGGGAACACACCAAGCUCAAUGAGGAAAUUCCUUAUCCAAACACCUUCCUUCGCGGCUUCCGAAGCCGCGAUGUACUCGGCUUCUAUCGUAGAAUCGGCCACCGUCUCGUGUUUGGAACUCUUCCAACUAACAACACCACCAUUUAGCGUGAACACAAAUCCUGAUUGUGACUUUGAAUCAUCUCUGUCGAUUUGGAAACUAGCAUCAGUGUAACCUGUUACAACGAGCUCCUCCUCACCUCCAUAGACGAGGAACAUAUCUUUAGUCCUUCUCAAGUACUUAAGAAUGUUUUUCACCGUUGUCCAGUGACUCUCACCUAGAUCAUAUUGGUGUCUGCUUGUCAUACUUAGCGCAUUUGAAACAUCUGGGUGAGUACUUAUCAUUGCAUACAUGAUAGAUCCAAUAGCCGAGGCAUAUGGCACUCUACUCAUGCGAUCCCGCUCAUCAGCAGUCGAAGGACACUGAGUCUUGCUGAGAUGUAUGCCAUGUGACAUAGGCAAGAACCCUUUCUUUGCCUCUUCCAUGCUGAACCGCUUCAACACUUUGUCAAUGUAAGUAUCUUGGCUUAAUCCUAUAAGCCUUCUCGAUCUAUCUCUAUAGAUCUUAAUGCCCAGAAUAUAUGCCGCUUCCCCUAAGUCCUUCAUCGAAAAACUAUUUUUCAGUGAAGUCUUUACGAACUCAAGCAUAGGAAUGUUAUUUCCAAUCAGCAAUAUGUCAUCCAAAUAUAAGAUUAGAAAUACUACAGAGCUCGCACUAACCUUCUUGUAAAUACAAGAAUCUUCUUCGUUCUUGGUGAAGUCAAACCCUUUGACCACUUCAUCAAAAUGAAUGUUCCAACUCCUAGAUGCUUGCUUCAAUCCAUAAAUGGAUCUUUGAAGCUUGCAUACCUUUCCAGCAUUUUUCGAAUCGACAAAACCCUCAGGCUGUAUCAUAUACACGUCCUCAGCUAGGUUUCCAUUCAGGAAAGCUGUCUUGACAUCCAUCUGUCAUAUCUCAUAAUCGAAAUAUGCAGCUAUAGCUAGAAUAAUCCGAAUGGACUUAAGCAUCACUACGGGCGAGAAAGUCUCAUCGUAGUCAACUCCUUGAACUUGUCGAAAACCUUUUGCGACAAGUCGUGCUUUAUAGAUGUGAACAUUUCCAUCCAUGUCCUUUUUCUUCUUAUAGAUCCACUUGCACUCUAUGGCUUUAACACCAUCAGGCGGGUCAACCAAGUUCCAAACUUGAUUGUCUCCCAUGGACUCUAUUUCGGAUUGCAUGGCACUCUGCCAUUUUUUGGAGUCUGGGUACAUCAUUGCUUUUGCAUAUGUCGCAGGCUCAUCAUUGUCCAACAAUAAUAUUUCCCGCAUUUCGCGGAGCCUUGCCGACCUUCGUGGUUGUGGCGGUGCUUCUCUUACCAUGGGUAUCUCAACUUGUUCUGCUACGUUAGCAUCACUCAUUGAUUCUUGCCCAAUCGGCUCAUCUUGAACCUCUUCAAGAUGCACUGUCUUUCCACUCUUUUCUCCUUUGAGAAAUUCUUUCUCUAGGAAAACCCCGUUCCGAGCGACAAACACUUUGCCCUCUAACGGUUGUAGAAAUAAUAUCCCAAAGUUUCCUUUGGAUAUCCCACGAAAAUGCACUUAUCCAACUUAGGUGUGAUCUUGUCUGACUGAAGUCACUUGACAAACACUUCACAUCCCCAAAUCUUUAGAAAAGACAAACUGGGAACUUUUCCAGUCCACAUCUCAUAUGGUGUCUUAACUACGGAUUUAGAUGGUACCCUAUUAAGUGUGAAAGUUGCUGUUUCUAGAGCGUAUCCCCAAAAUGACAAUAGUAGGUCCGACUGGCUCAUCAUUGAUCGAACCAUGUCUAAAAAAGUUCAAUUACAUCGCUCGGAUACACCGUUUCUCUGAGGUGUUCCAGGCGGCAUAAGUUGUGGAACAAUUCCGCAACUCUUUAGAUGAUUGCUAAACUCGUGGCUCAAAUACUCGCCUCCACGAUCAGAUCGUAAGGCCUUAAUUUUCUUGCCACGCUGAUUUUCAACUUCAUUCUGAAAUUUCUUUAACUUUUCAAAGGUUUCAGACUUGUGCCUCAUCAAGUAGACAUAGCCAUAUCUACUAAAAUCAUCAGUGAAAGUUAUGAAGUAUUGGAAUCCUCCUCUAGCCGUCGUGCUCAUUGGUCCGCAUACAUCACUAUGUACGAGUUCCAACAAGUCUAUUGCUCUCUCAGGAAAUCCUGUGAAAGGCGUCUUGGUCAUCUUGCCUAGCAAGCAAGCCUCACAUAUAUCGUAUGAUUCAAAAUCAAACGAUUAGAAGUCCAUCAGAAUGGAGCUUCUUCAUGCACUUUUCACUUAUAUGACCCAAACAACAAUGCCACAAGUAGGUAGGACUCAAAUCAUUAGGCCGAGGCCUUUUAGCACUUACGUUACAAACAGGUGAACCAUCAUGAUUUAAAACAAAUAAUCCAUUCACAAUGGGUGCAAAAGCCAUAAACAUAUCAUUCUUAGAGAUCACACAACCAUUGUUUUCACUCGCAAAUGAAUAACCAUCCUUCAUCAAGCAUGAAGGAGACAAAAUGUUUCGACUUAAACUAGGAACGAAAUAACAAUUAUUCAACUCCAUAGCUAGGCGGAAGAGAUGAAAGAAUGAAGUUAGUGGCCAACUCUUUGCCCAUUGGGAAGCCCAGCUUCUCCAAUCGCUGAGUGUAACCAACCAUCUUGAUUACAUGUGGUCCUACUGCUGCGCCUUCUGCUACCUUGCACUCCAGAAAGGCUUUGGACACAUUGAACCUUUCAGUCCUAGCCUGUGUCUGGAACAUGUCCUUGAGCACCAUGAUCAUAUCAUGUGCCUCAUGAUUUGUUUCGAACUGCAUCUGCAGCUCGGGUUCCAUGCAAGCAAGCAUAAGGCAGCUUACCUCAAGAUUAGCAUCAAAUGCCUUCUUGUAAGCAGCCUUAACAGCAGCAAAUGCAUCAUCAGCAGGUACUGGUGGUAGUGGGGUGUCUAGAACAUCUUCCUUUUUAUCGGCCCUGAGAACAAUUCUCAGGUUACGGAUUCGAUCCGACUAGUUUGUUCCAUUCAACUUGUCCUUCUCAAGGACCGGCACUUCGUCAUGAAAGAGGUUAGAUGCUAUGGAAAAGAGAACACGGUCAUGAUGUCCGUAUCCACUCUUUCUCGUAGAAUCGAACCUCCUUCUUGACAUACGUUGCUGCUCGGCGGAGAACAUCCUCUGCGAGAUGACCACGGUAUGCAAGUUCAACAAGUAUGGAUUUGAAAAACCUUAUUGAAUUUGAUAAGUUCAACAAGUAGCAGAAGUUAUCUAUGUACAAAAAUUCUUUCCUUACCACUGUAGAAGUUGUUGAACUUGAAGACUGUGAUCAUCUCGCGAGCAUGUUCUCAACUGGGCGGCACCGCACUUCGUCAUGAAAGAGGUUAGAUGCUACGGAAAAGGGGACACGGUGACGAUGUCCGUAUCCACUCUUUCUCGUAGAAUCGAACCUCCUUCUUGACAUACGUUGCUGCUCGGCGGAGAACAUCAUCGCAGAGAUGAACACGGUAUGCAAGUUCAACAAGUAUGGAUUUGAAAAACCAUAUUGAAUUUGAUAAGAUAAACCGUCUAGAUAAGGUAGCAUCAUUCUUAAACCACUGCAAGAAUGCAUACUAUAUAUGACACAUCAAUCUCCCUCACAUUCUAGCUCAAAAUACCUCUCCAUUUUCUACUUCAUCACAUUCUAGCAAAUAAUCUUUCCAUCUCCAAAGCAUAAAUCAAAGCAUAACACGAGGAUGAAGUAGCAAAACCUUCACAACACUUGUGUCGGCUGAGUGAAAUUCCCACGAAAAUGAGAGAAAAAACUUCGGGCAGCACCUCCCUUGCUUCGGCACCACCGGAGAGUAGGUGAAGCUCAGCUCUCUCUAUCAAUGUGCUGGACUAGCUCGGGCUAGAGGAGGAAGAAAGUCCUCUGUCUUGGUAUAUAAUGGGGAUGAGUUUUUAUCCCGGUUAAAAACUCCAACUGAGACAAAAAGGAACACCUUUUGUCCCGGUUGAAGGUUUAGUCCCGAUUGGAAGCUCCAACCGGGACAAAAGGGACACCCUUUUAUCCCGGUUGGAAGCUCCAACCGGGACUAAACUUUUUGUGGUUCCAACCGAACCGGGAUAAAAUGGUGCCUCCACCGACAGCCCGCGACUAGCCAUUGCAACCGGGACUAAAGGGGGGCCUUUAGUCCCAGUUGCAAUUACCAACCGGGACUAACUCUCCCCUCCAUUUUUGCCUACCGUGGCGUACCCCCUUUUGUCCCGGACCAACUUUAAACCGGGAUAAAAGGGGGCGCAUCGAAAGCCAAUUCUCUACUAGUGUAUCAUACCCUGGUAUUGCCUUCUACUAGCUACAUCCGAGUUUUGUAGCAUGCACGAACCUUUCUGUUACAAAAAUUCAAGUAUAUUUUUAGGUGUUUAGCUAUCUUGAUGAAGUUCAACACCCACUUUUUUUGGUUAUACCAAAUCAAUUUAAAAAUUACAGAGAAAAAACACUGAAACUCUAAUGUUAAAUGUAAAUCCAGAAUGAAUUGAGGUCAUUAAUUAACACCUGAAUUUUGUUUCCUUUCCUCUGUAUGCUAAUUAAGAGGAAAGUUGAAAGAAAAGAAGAUGAAAAAAAAAUCAGGUGGCGCUUCAAUUAACGCUGUAUUUCUUUUUUUGAGUAAAACUGUGGGGAAGAGUUCCCCACAGUGCGCUUCAAUGUUACAUAUUAAACAACAGACUGUAAAAGAUUACAAGAUACUUAUAUAAAUUAGAGGGAAGAGAAAGAGAGUACAAAAUCGACACUUGCAAAUGAUAAACGUCUAAGGGGUACCCUAACUCUUGCUUUGAACAGUGGACCCAACUCUUUGCAUUGAACACACGACCUGAGAAAAUCUGCUUAACUCCUGUUCGGGUUAUCACCCUGGUACGGUUCGCACGACGUGCCAAUCAAUCUGACCUGUUGAUUGAUAAGGAAGGACAGAUGUCAGAUUUCAAAGAUUCGAUCAGCUGGAGUUCUGAUCUACUCUAAAAAACGUAUCAGCGGAUUUGCCAAUGUAAUGUAAGGAUGACCGGCUAUGAAGCAGCCGAUAAUCACGUAGCAAAUGUAAAGGGGACUGCUGGAGUAACCUAAACAAUGCUACAGAGACAACACCUGAAAUAGAUCUAAUCGGCUGUAUGAUAAUAAGUAAUGUAUUGAUAUAGCCGAUAGUUCAUGCCUCAAGCUAGAUAACUGGUGAUAAAAACUAAAAUAACACGCAAAACCUAUAAUUCUAGCAAAUAUCGAUUAGUGGUGAAUAAAUCUAAACGAGACGACAGCGAUACACCCGAAGUCAAAGUUUACACAUUACUCGAAACGCGGAACUUACAAAUUGACCGAAGAUCAAGUUGAUGCAGCCCUGCCAACUCGCACGAACUCGUGAAAAGAAAAAGAGUUUGGUGAAGUCGCCAACUUGAAAGUAAAGUUACGUGAAAAAGUAGAUUUGUAUUGAUAUUAUUUGAUGAUCUUUUCCAGCCUCACGAGACACCUGUUUAUACCCUGUUACAACUCGUUUCCUAAUCGACUACGACUCAAUGUUCUAUUUCUAUUUAAAGUAACAAAUAUUUACACAUAGAUACAACUCAUACUGGAGUCGGACACCAUCCAAGCCUCUACGGGCCAAUCUUCACCUCACUACCACCUCGGCCCAUUUAGGCUAAUAUCAACGCGUCGGUCGAGCUGUUCUGGCUUCCAAUCGGCCAAACUCCAUCGAUCUCAUUGGCUAAUUGGCCGAACCACUGUAGCUUUACCGACCGAUUUCUCUAGCCAUGGCUUCUUGUUUAGUCGCAUCAGCCGCUUUCUUUUCCUUUUGAUGCUGACGCUAACACGUGUCAAAAACCGACCUCAACAGUUUGCUUAUUUUAUUAGGCGCCUCUAUCAUUCCUUGGUAUUUUCUAUGCUUCUGAUUGGCAUCUGUUGAUCAGUACUGCACUUUCGUCUAUGGUCUGUGUGACAACUCUGGCUGAGGAAUUCGUUAUGUAUAUUAGAAAGAAAGCUAUGAAGCCGCGAAUAGUGUUUUCCUUUGUAGUUAAGCAUAGGCUCAUAGCAACUGUGAUCACUAUAGGCCAGAUUUUGUUUUCUUCAUAAAGAUUCAUGUAAUCAGGUUAAUGAUCUCCGGAGAUUAUUCUUAAUUUCAUAGCAUAUUUGCAGUUGAUGUAACUAUCAAUAACAAAUAAAGUUGCCAAGAUGGCAUUUCCUCAAGAAAGCGAUAACGUAGAUAACAUAACAAAUAUAGAAAGAGAUAAAGUUACCAUUCCCCUUUUCUGCCCGGCACAAGGCUAACAAGGACUUCCUAUCAUUCAAUCAUGGAAGCCUCCUCCUCCUGAAAACUUCUACAAGAUCAAUACUGAUGGUGCAUAUGAUCAAAAUACUAGAACUGGAGGUUGGGGUUUUGUUGCGAGGGACAGAAAAGGUGAGGUGUUGCUGGCAGGGCUGGUAAAAUUAUGCGAGCUGCAUCAGCUAUACAGACUGAAGCAGUAGCAGCAUUCAUGGCUAUUCAGCAGGCUGCUCAACUUGGAAUGACACAUAUCAUGUUGGAGAUGGAUGCUUCUGUCCCUGGCAUCAGCUCUUUGCUCCAUAGGAAUUGAUAGGAGUGCCAUUGGAUGCUUAGGACGUCAGAUCCAUGACCUUAUGCAAACAGAGUUUUCAUCUUGUAUUGUCUCGCUUUGUAAUAGAUCCUGUAAUAAAGUAGCUGAUUGUUUAGCAACCUAUGGAGCAGGCAUGUUGGCCUCUGACUCUGCUCUGUGUUGGAGUCAAGCCCCAGAGUUUGUAAGAGAACUUGUUUUAGGCGAUUUGCCUAGAGGUGAUGUUUAAUGCAGUUGUGCUUUUCAAAAAAAAAAAAAAACAGGGACUUUAGUAUCGGGUACGCACACAGAAAUCUACUCAAAGCAGCCCAUAUAUAUGGGCUUUAGCAGAACGCAGCAACACAUAUCGAAAAGAAGGUGGGCACAUGAGCCACGAGGAGCAUUUACGCACAAAUAUAUGGGUUGCUUUCUUCCGAGCUGACAGUCACUGUACCUUCCGUUUGACCCAUGCUGUACUCAUGGAUACGGUAUAGUCCCUCUUGUACAUGACAACUCAAACGUUAUGAUCACUACCCUACUGAGUCGUAUACCUGGCAAAACUCUGGUUUGGCAAAAAAAAAACAAAAAAACUGAUUAUGUUUGGAUCUAAAACGGCUUGAUGAUUUGGUGUUGUUCGCUCAUUCAUUGUCCUGAUCGGCCGAAAUCAAAUUUCUCUAGUUUUGAUCAGAUUUAUAGAAAAAUAUACAAAUAUUUACGAUAUAAAACUAGUUUCGUGGUAUUGCAGAUGUUAAUAUACCAUUAUAUAAAGUUGCUCAAAUUUUGAAAAAUUUACCUAAGGAUAAUAUUAAAAUAUUAAAAUGACCAAUAAUUUAGAACCGGGAAAUAGCUAGGAGAUGUAACUCUUGCAUUGGUUGCCGUGCAAAAUCAUGAAAGGAGCUCUCCACGAACAAAGCAGCAAAACACACCUUUUUUUUUGAACGAAUGGGCACGAGACGGUGCCUAUUUCAUUGAUAGAGUAGGUUAUUACAGUAGUGUUUCAUAUUAUGGUACGCUUACAUGAUUACUCUCUAGAUAAAAAGGUCGCUAAAGCUUUUGCCCCUGCUAAGAUCCAUGUGACUGCUUCCUCCUUUACUUUGGCGAGCAGAGAGGUUGUUGCCAUCUCUUGAUGGUUGAAAAUUCGCCUAUUUCGCUCCUUCCAGAUUUCCCAUAUUAGCAGCAGCGUCACAGAACAUGUGCCCUUUCUAGGCGCUUCGGUCCUUGUAGUCAUAUUCAUCCACCAUUCCAGAGCGGUUUCGGUUGGGGGCCAUUCCGAGGGUUGUAUGCUUGGUUGAGAUGUCCAGAUGGCCACGAGGCUCCAUAUUCGCUUGGUGUAUCUACAUUGAGCCACUAGAUGAUGCGCUGUUUCUUGUUGUAUACAGCAUAAGGGGCAUGUAGGGGAGUGAGGCCAUCCUCAUCGCGCAAGUCGAUUAGCCGUCCAUAUACGAUUUUGGAGAAUCAGCCAUGCGAAGAACUUGCAUUUCGGUGGCGCCCAGCAGUGCCAUAUUGUUUUGUAGUGUGGCGCAUAAGUGGAUCCCAGGAACUGCGCUUUGUAUGCUGAUGCCGCUGAGUAUUUUCCGUUAGAUGUCAAUUUCCAUUGAAUUGUGUCUUCCUGUUGCGUUUGCAUUUGUGGCCUCACCAGUGCUGCUAGACUCCAUAGUGCUACAAAUUCUUGGAGGUGUUGUAUUGUCAGUCCUUCAUGGAAGUUUAUGUCCGUCACCCAGCUAUUGUUGUAUAAAGCUUCUGCUAGUUUUUUAUGCUUUCCCCUGGAUAGCAUAUAUAUGUUGGGCGCAAUGUCCUUUGGUCGAGUUCCUUGCCCCCAGGUGGAAUGCCAGAAGCUCGUUUUGUGUCCAUUCGUUGUGCAAGCCGCGAAUAAUCGUUGAUCGGAUUCGUCACAUGGUAUCUCCGUUCCAAUCCAUGUUUUCUGCGGUGAUUCCCACUCGUGCCAUAUCCAGCGCAGUCUCAAUGCUCUAGCGAAUUUGUGUAGGUUUAGUACUCCUAACCCCCCAUUUUCUUUUGGUAAGUAGGAUUUAAUCCAAUUAACCUUGCAUUUGCCGCCUGUAAGCGUUGUGUCUCCUGCCCAGAUGAAUCGUUUUCUUAUUUUGUCUAGUUCGUCUAAAACUUCAUUUGGUGCUUUUAGGACGGUUAGUAGAUAUAGUGGCUGCGCUAGCAGCAAAACACACCUGGAACAUAAGCAAGCUAAGGUGCACUCCUGACAGUUUCUAGCCAUCCAGGGAACGAAGGCUGCUUUCCGGUAGUGAGUUUAUACCCGAAUGCACAUCGACGUGCGCACCUUCUUUACUUUCCUUUUUUUUUUUGUUUCACUGCAUCUUCUUCAGUUGUCUUCCAUGUGCCUUAGCAGCUAAGCGUCGGAUUUUAGUUGCAAACGGUUGAGACUACAGUGUUACACAGGACACAAGGAUAGCUGCGUGGCGUAAAAAAACGCGUUCAAUCUCAUCGAGUAUGGACCCCCUUUAGUCCCGAUUGCAAAUAACAAUCGAGAGUAAAUUCUAGCGCACCCCCUUUUCUCCCGGGCCGAAAUUAAAUCGAGACUAAAGGGGGUGGGAUCUAAAGUCAGUUCUCUUAUAGUGAACUUACAAAUUACAAUGUGAAGCACUGAAACAAGUUUGAUAGAAGUAAUUAAGAAAAUAUAAGGAAACGAGAUUGAAGAGAUUACAUAAGUUAUUGAACUCUAUAUAAAAGUAGCCUUCUUGAUAGAGGUCCUGAUGUUCCAAGUUACAGUAAUAUUGUCGUAGAAACGAUGUUGGUACUUGUGAAGUGAGCGUAGCUUAGCUGGUAAGGUUUUUUUUAUGGUGGAACCUAUCCACCAGGGUUCGAGUCCUCGACUUGGUACUGGUACUCACAUUUUCCUAGAUUAAUAUUAGGAUUUAACCGGCGCUAUUCUUUUAGUGGUAGGCGACGUUCCCGUCGAUAGCGAGGUGCCAGUGGUGACUUCGUCAAUCUCAAGGAUUUACCGGCUCAGUCUUUUGAAGGUGCUCAUAGGGGUAGGAUUGCAUGCGUGUGUUCGUAAGGGCGAGUGUGCGUACGUGUAUGUGAGGACCUAUGUCUAUACUAUGUUGGUACUUCAAAGCAUCUGCGUAGAUGCUAAACUUGAGCACUUGGUGGACGCGUGGCGUGAUGAUCGGUGCUGCUCCUUUGCUACUAGUGGCGCCCUUCGUUUCAUCGUCCGAACUAGAGGGUUGUGUCGAUUUCGUCUUCUCCAUUACAAAUAUGAAAUGAGCUGCUUAUUGUGGCUGUGUGCCAUGCAUGUGAGCAGAUGAAGAUAACGGACCUCUGGUAACCUGCCGAGAAUUAUCAGGUUCGUCCAUGGCGUCAAGAGUCAAUGACAAGUGGGAGAGAUUAGGAAGACGCGUAGGAUUGAUGCAUGUGGCACCUCAGAGAACCUAACAUCAACAAGUCCUAGCUGACCGCUGAUAGGAGCCUGACACUCGUGAUAAACAAAAAGAAAAGGAUUGAUCGAUGGAUGUUUGCUUGUAAUGCAGUAUCUGCGUGCUUCUAGGCUGAAUGUACAGCCGGGGGAAAAGAAGAGGCAGCCCAUGAAAGGUGGCUGACGAAAAAUCUGCCCCAAAUUUCACUCGCUGGUACUUCAGUUCCGGGGCUGAUGAACAGAGACGAUGAAGCUAAUUCUACGACACGCAUGAGGUAUGUUUGUUUAAGCUGCAGCUUUUGAGCUUUUCUGAAAAGUUGCUGCUGAUUUUUUCUUCUGAAAAAGCAACACUAGUGUUUAUAAGAUGUGUUUACCUUUUUGUCCAAACAGUUACGAAAAUCUCAUAAAAAUGACAUUUUCAGCUAUCCAGCUAUCCAUGUAAACUCAGUUUUUCCAAGCUUCCUACUUUCCGGAAGGCUGUUUAUUUGAACUUCUGAUUUUUCAUGCUGAGAAGCUAUCAGAAAGCUCAAACAAACAGGACCUGAAUAUCCCAUAAUUAUCUGUGAACAAGUAGUCUUAGAGUCAUGUAGUACAUGUGACCAUCUAACCUGAAGACGACAGGAUCUAUCCGACACUGCAACCAGCAACUCGCCGGCCGGUCUGCUCCGCGCCCCUUCUAGAAAUGGAGUAGUAGGCUCCGUUCUGGUAAUUGUUUGCGUUGGUUUUUUAGCUUUUAUUUCUUCAAUAGAAGGCACGUAUGUCUCUGUAAUUAUUACAAAUUAUAAAUCAUUUUAGUUAUUCCUUUCUUUUUUUUAAUGGCUAACUGUUGUUUUAAUUUUUGUAGUAUGCAGGCGUGUAGUUUGCGCCAAAAAGAGAAGAGGCGGCUGAACGAUGGGUGUGGUAACCAUGAGCGUAGAUCGUACGUGAUGGGUGGUUAAACGCGUGCGCGAUGAUACACGUGGUUGUUAGUCCUUCAGAAAGGAGAAGGUAAAAAGCAAUCCCGCAGGAGAUUGUUUAGUGCGCGCCAAUAAUUGUGCCGUCGAGCAGCGUAAUAUUUGCCGUCCCCAUCACCUACUCCUUGGAGUUUUACGAUGUUAUCAUUCACGCUGCACAAAGGCAGCUGCACUUUUAUAUCAUAAGCAAGCUCCACUCCACCACGCCCUCGCCUAUAUAAGCACCUCACCACCACGCCCGACAUCAUCGAAAGCAAAACAGCGAAGAUGUCGGGCGUGUGGGUGUUCAAGAACGGGGUGCUGAGGAGUCUCCCGCCGGAGGAGCCUGGUGUGGCAGCGGGCCCGAGCAACAAGAAGGCGCUGGUGUACGCGCCAGCGAGCGAGACGGUGCAUGGCGUCGCACGAGGCCCUAAAGCGCUAGCGGCGGCUGCUGGAGCUCGGCUGGGAGCGCUGCGGCGACGAUCCGGGCGACACCUCCCUCCUGCUGUUCCGCCGCGGUGACAGCGCUGAGCUCAUCUCGCUGCCCGCUGACUUCGCCAGCGUCGGCGCUGACCACAUGCACAACAUCGUCGUCAAGAACCCGGAGCAAAUUGACUCAAGGUCGUCGACCACAUAUGCAUGCACUUCAAGGUCGUCGACGCCACCGGCGGUCCGGCAAAUUGACUCGUAGCGUGGGUGUGUGUCCAAGUGCUCGUAUCGCACAUGGCCGUGAAGUGUGUGAUCACUGAAUUUCUGCGUGUGUUCAAGUCAGUAUGUUAUUGUUCCAUCUGUGGGUAUGUACUCCUCUUCGUUUGUCCCAAGUAUUUGACGACAUGUUCUUUGGUCACUGCGCGCGUCAUAGAAAUGUGGCCAAUAUAUAGCCCAUCGCUCGCAUUCUGCAAUAUGUGUAGACACAGACAGGGCGCCACACCUCUCUAAUCAACAAAACUAAUACUACCUUACAGUUUGAUGCCAAGCAUAUUUCUCAGGCCCAGACCUGCUUCUUGUCAUCUUUUCAUCGGUUGCAUUGAGCUCUGCUAGCUUUCUUCUGAGAUAAGAAGAGCAGAUAGGAGGAGUGGCAUUCUUCCCAGGGCUGCUAUGAUAUCUCUCACGCUCUCACAGUGUCAACGACGUGUAAAAACAAAUUGAUUUUCUAUAAUUCUGAACUCUCCUAGUGGUUUCUCAUAUGUUUAGAAACGCACGACGCCGGAAAAAAAUAAGGUACACGAUUAUUCCAGCGUGUGUGAAAAAAUACGACACAAAUAAAGAUUACAACAGCCUGGAAUAGCAAACUCUAUCCUAUCCAGCCAAAGUAUCGCACAUGUUACAAAAGGUUGGUUAACAACCAUGAUUUAAUUUACACGCUAUUCUGUUAACAUACUAUGGGUCCAUUACAAGGGCCUGUGUAACACCUCUAGUGUUUAGACAUUUUAUUAGUGUUAUUCAUCUACAGGGCUCGAGUAAUUAGCAUCUUUUUUGAGUGCAAAAUUGUGCUUAAUGAAGUUGGUUAAUGCUUUCACUCGUGUGGUGUUGGUACGUGAAUUGAAAGCUAAGUGCAACAAGGGCUUGAGCUGUUUUGCAAGUGAAAAAACAAAUAAAAAGUCACGUCUGAAUCAAUUCAUGUUUAAAUACUUGAAGUGGUGCACUUUUGCAUGUGUUUAAGUACUUGAAGUCGUGCACUUCGCGCCGUCCUCGCCCACUGCUCCGCAGAGCACGGACGGCGACCCCGCGGCCCGAUCUCCUCCCCUGGUCGCCGGCCUCCUCUCUCUCUCUCCCAUUUUGUUCGUUCUUCUUCUUCUUUCGGUAGAGCAAGCAGGGGAGAGCCGAGCUCAACCACCAUCCGCCUGCCGGCCAAAUCCUCCCCACCCCCUCCACCAAAAUCAAAUCACCUCCACCCACAGCUUCCUCACUUCCCCAGCUCCACCCUCAUCCGCUCAUUACCGCUGUCUAUGGUUCCUGCGGUCGGGGAUUGAGGUUUCCCCGCCCGCCAUGUGCCGCGAGCCACCACCGGCCACCCACACAUCGUCACGUCGACAACCACCCUCCAUCCUUCCUCGUGCUAAAAAAACUACACAAAAAGAACCAUGGUGAGGUCCUGGUGCUCGUGCUCUCGCUCUUGUGCCAUAUUAGACAACUUUCCGCGCUCGAUUUUGUGCUCGCCGCCGGCCGUGCGCCGCUACUCGCACGGGUAGGUCUAGGGUUGGUUUUCGUGGAGAUAGGAGAGGGAGGAGGUGCGCUUAGGUGUAGGGAAUCAUAUGGGGUAGUCAAAGAGGUGGGAGGGGAAGCCCCCGCGUCGGCGUAGCCGCGCCGCCGCCCCUCGCCGUGGCCGCACGGGUGAGCCAGAGGAAAAAGAUGGAGGGAGGAGCAUGGUUGUGAGGAGAAAAGAACUGCAGGGGGUUAUGCUCAAAACUUUGGGUUUAUAUGUUAGGUGGGUUUUGUUUCAGGGGGCUAUGCAAAAGAUCAGGGGGCUAGUUAAGAAGGAAGGGUAGAUCUGUUAAGGAAAGAUGUUUCCAGGAACCUUAACGUAAACCUGGUUUUGUUUACUUAUCUUUUAAACCGGCUGAAAAUAUAGAAAUGUGUAUAAAAUCGUAUAAAAAUGAUAAAAAUAAAAACUAAAUUUUGUUGGUUCUCUGGUAAAGUCUAGUUUCACCCACGAAUGAGUGUGUGCAUGUAUCUGUUGUAUUUUUAGUUCUAUAAAUUAUCUUGUGCUAUACUUGUUAAAUGCUUAGUAAAUUAUAGGUUUCUCCAAAAAUUGUGAAACUAAUUUUGUUAGCUUCCUUGAGUCAUGUAGGUUUCAGAUCUGUAACUUAUAUAUGUGAUAUUUGUGGUUGUCGUUCUGUUUUGGAGCUAUCUUUUGUUUGCUAUAUGAAUCUUGCUAAUUGCAUAAUAAUUUGUAGAAAAAUGAUAAAAUUAUGAAACCACUUUAGUUGAGAUUGUUAUGAUCUUCAUCACGUAUGAAGAAUGUUAGAUCCAGUGAUAGCUAUUCUACACUUAGUAAAAUUCAGAACAUAAAUAAAAUAGUUUAUUGUACACAAAUAAUUGUGUUUACCAAAAAAUCAUAAUAAAUUUCUGUAAAAUAUUUUGUCAAUGGUUUUAUCAGUUUAUUACUUGUUCAUCACCAGGUUGUAUCUACAAUUUAGUUUAAUGAAUUUCCUUAUUCCUAGCUAUAUUAAUCUCAAUAAAAAUAAAACAUGUUAGAAGUGUUUUAAGAUAUUUUAAUUCCUGUAAUGGUUACUUUGCAACUUGUAAAUGUUAGCAACUCAUUUUUAUCUCUGAGAGUGAUUAUAAGAAUGAUCAUCUCUAUUUAAUUCAUUUUGAAACAUAAUGGACCACUAGUUAGUAUUUUUUUUCUUUAUGAAAAUGGUAGUAUAUUUUUGUGUUACAUUACAUAAGUUGUUUUGUGAAGUACUUCGGAGCAAAGUAAAGUUAAUAUCUGAACCUCAUCAUAGUAGUAUCCCAGCGGUUCCUUGCAUAGUUUGUUAAUCAUUAUGCGCGAUAAAUAACUGCUCUUUGUUAUAUGUGAGUAUGUGCAUCUUUUAAUCUUGCAUCGCAUGUGCAUUCAUCUAGAAAACGCAGCUAGCGACGUGGUAUACGAGUAGGAGGAGCAGGAAGCACCAGAGCUGUAGGGGACACUAAAGGAGCAGCAAGACCCGGCCCAAGGUCCGGAAGAGUAGAUCGCUGAGCAGCAAGAAGGCAAGCCCCAGAGCAUGACCCUAUUUUAAUUUAUGCAAUUAAUGUUUAAUUAUGUAUUGUGCAUUUACGUUUCUAGGAGUUGGAUGAAACCAUAGAUGCAUGAUCCAUAGGUUGCCAUGGUUAUACUAGUAUGUGUAGGCCGUUAGCUCUGCUAUGCUUAAUUAAGUUCGGUAGAAGUCGAGUAAUUGCCUGUCACUCGCGAGAUAUAGGGCACAUAGUACUUAUGUUUAAUUGUGGAAAAUGGCUCAAAUGGUAAAAUCGAGACCAGGCGAAGAUGAGUUUUGGUUGAAGAUAUGAGGUAUGGAUUGAAUGUGUAGAUCCACCUGUGUCAAUUAAGGCCUGUUCAUUGUGGCACAGUUGAUCAAGUUUGAACAGUACUAAUCACAUGCUAGGAGUAGGAGGUAGUUGAAACUGGCAAACGUAGUACUUGAUUUGCUCCAGAGUUUGAACUCCUACCCGCCCUCUAGGGCAAGUCGAGUGGCCGAGGAGAAUUGGGUAUGUAUUCUUUUUUUGUGGUCUCUCGUAGGGCUCGGCUGAGUAGUGCUGGCGGGGUAGUUCAGACUUUCGAUGGUGGAGAUGGGAACGGUUGCCACAUGUGGCUCGACGGGGCAUGCAUAUGUCAUGUGGUUAGGUUUUUCGCUGCAUCUCUCGAAUAAGAGAACCUUGAUCUCUCUGUCUCAUCAUUAUAAAGAAUUGAAAAGGGAAUGAUGAUAAAUUGUUGUUUGCUUAAUCAAUUAUUUUUCCACACUGAAUGGUUGUUUUUAUGCAAACAUAGAAAAUAGUUACUCUCACUUUAACUUGGCUAAAACAUUGAAAGUAAGGAUCCACCCUUAGUAGCUUUUUGGCAAAACAAACUCCUGAGCCAAAAUCCUUGCAUGCUAGGAGUUGGCUAAGUAUAUACCACUAGUCGAGUAAGCCUUGCUGAGUACUAGUUGCUCAAGGUUUGUUGCUCAAUUUAUUUCAAGUCCUGAUGAUAUAGAUUUCUAUCCUUGUUGCGCUAAGCUUAUUCGCCGUGAUGCCGAUGGUUGGGAAGUCGCUGGACCGGAUGCUUAGUCACUUGUUGACCUCAGAUUGCACACUUGUGGGCUGAAGUGUGUGAUCUACCAUUCACGCUUCGUCGUAUCGUAGUUUCGGUUUUUAAAUAAUGGCAAAAUUGUGUUAAUUCCAGUUGAACUCUAUAGCUAUUUAUGUAUUCGAACUCGGCUUGUAAAACUUAGUGUACCACAUUCUGGUUUGUAAUUGUAUGUGUAUGAACUUCGUCAUGUAUGUACUAUCUGUGCUCACCUUCACAUGAGACUUCUGGUGUUUGUUUCGAUUGACAUAUUUGUAAAUGCGUGCUAUCAAAUUAAACCAUUAAGUUAAUGUGCCUGAUGUGUUCAAAUGAUGGCCAUUAUGCUUAAUUAGAGUUUUAAUUUGGCGGUUCUACCACAACAUGUUUGGUAGAGCUUCAUUUGAUUCUGAUUCUCUAUGGGAGUUGAUCUAAGAGAGAAGUGAUUCUAUUGUUGAAACUGAUUCUCUUUAAUUCUAUAGCAUAAACUCUUAAAAUUAGGAUGGAGAAUCACUUCACAGAAUCUGGAGAAGCUACUUUUUUCAGCUCCCAGGCUCUUAGUUUAUUUUAGAGAAUCACUUUACAGAAUCAGUAGAGAAUCACUUAUCUCUGAAAAACUGUUUGGCAGAGCUCUUACUAGAUUCAGUAGAGAAUAAGCUCUGGAAGCUUUGGCAUACGGGGCCUAAGGGGUAUAAGUGGUUAACUCUGAGUGAGACUGUAUCUCAAACUUUCACUCUAAUAGUAUAGGUAGAUAUGUCGUGUUUUCACCUUCCUUGCCUUACCUUGGUUGGCUCAAAUGCUCAAACAAUGAUCUCUGAAAAAUAAAGAGGGCAGGAACAAACGAAGCAAAGUCAGAGAUAAAGAUCGGUGUUAGGGUUCAUGGCUUUGGGUUUGUCGUGGUCUCCUGCUACUGCUAUAAAGAAGUAGCUAGGGAGGUCAUGGGACCAGCGAUGGAGACAGUCACGGCGGCUGUACAUCCAUGCCUGUUCACGUGUUGGUGGCAGAGGGUAGUGGCGUGCCUCCGUAGCCAUCGGUGAAUGGAGGGGGACACGCUGGAGAGGGAGAAAACCGGUCAUGUUAGUGGAGCAAAGAAAACCGGUCGUACCUCCGUACCUUAUUCGUGUUACGAAUAAGGUAAUGAGGAAAGUGUGCGUCUUGGGGGGUAAACGCGUGCACAGACAUGCGGUAGUAUAGUCCUUAAUCAAAGCUAAGGUAAAAAUCAAGUCAAAAGCAAUAGGUUGUUUAGUGCACAAGCAACUUGUGCCAUUGGGGUCGGGCAGUAGAAUAUUUAACUUGCACUCUCCCAUCACCUAUAAUCAUUGGAGUUUUACUAGGUUAUUAUUGACGCUGCGGCAGUCAAGCCGGCAGUCAGGAACGCUCCUAGCAAUAUAACCACCACGUACGCCUGGAUCAACACCACAAACAAGCGCCCUGCUCAGCACACUGCACGCUACAACAACGCUCAGAGCAAUGUCGGGCGUGUUUCUAUUUAGGAACGGGGUAUCGACCUUUAAUUCACCUAUAGAGCUAUCUUUAGGAAUUCUAUCUAUCCUCGCCACCUAUCUUGGUAUAUCCUUGGACCGACUAAACUAGGAGUUAGUACACACACAUUCCCUUGGAUUCGAUACCCUUGGAAUACUCUAAGCUGAAAGCUACAACGGUAUCCGUGCUCUUGCGGAUUUAUUCGCAUUCGUUAAUUAUACCAACAGAGCUCCACCAAGAAUAUGCUCUCGGUUACCAAGUCUCUCUCGAUAAAUGUCUUGGUCUCGCCACAAAGGCUCUCACCAAGCUGGAUGAGAUGAAUGCCAUGAAGGCAAGGCCAACCACUCCCUCUAUUCGGUCAUCUUGACAUCGUCUCUACUAUGGAGCUUCUCCACAAAGGAAGGGGUCUCCUCGUCCCCCCGUACACAGUCAUUGUCACCGCUCCACGUAAAGCUGGAGAGUCGAAGACUUCUUGGCGAGCCACCAAGGCCUUAAGGUGCCGGCGCACCAAGUUUGGAAUGGUGGUUCACUCCUUGAAUUAGUCACAAUGUAACAACUCCUUGCACUCACUCACCCUUCCAAGCUCAUGCUAAGCCUUGGAUUAUCACUUUUGCACUUUUGGUAGCAUAAAUAUGUUCUUGACUGAGUGUUGAUCUUGAAUGAACUUGUGCACACAACAACUCUAAAUGGGUGAGUAGAGGGGGUAUAAAUAGCCCAUGGACCUCAAAGUAUCGUUGCUCCAAUGGAUAGUAAAAAUAGUGAGCAUCAGAUGACCGGAUGAUCACUUGGGGUAGGCAUCAGAUCAUCCGGAGCCCCCUGCUAAGGCAUAUAGCCAUUGGACCCCUUGCCCAAAAUUGCUCCGAUGCUUCAUCCAAUGGCCAUCGGAUCAUCCGACUCUUUGUCCGAUGGUACCAUCGGAUCAUCUGGUGCUGAUGAGUUUUUGCCAAAAAUUCUCUGGAUGAUUUUAAAGUAAAAUGUGCUUAGUCCGAUAGUCACAUGCACAAGGGUGUCGGAACAUCCGGUGCUUCAUUCCUCCGUGCCUCCUCGUCACCGAUUCAUCCGACGCUCACAAAAAGUAGGCCAUCAGAACAUCCAGUGGUCUUGUUCAUGUACAACCGCUACUGUAGCCACCGGUUGAUCCGAUGCCUUUUGUCCGAUACCCAUUGGAUCAUUCGGUGCCCUUCUACAUGUUGUACCAAUUGCUCCAAUGCUUACUCCAUUGCUUCGUCCGGUGCACUGUCGUAUCAUCCGGUGUUAUGCGUUUUUUGUUUUGAAUACCGUUGUUUGGAUUCUCUGGAUAUUCUUUGUCAUUUAGACACUUGAAUACCGCAGAAUAACCGUAGAUACCAUUGUUUGGAGUUGGACACUUGAACACCGCGAUUUGGAUCUUACCAUGGUUUGGUUUGCAUUCUUGCGACCUAUAAAACCUACAAGGUGUGUAUGCUAGACAAACCAUGAAUCCCAUAUGUUGUUACUCAAUCACCAAAAUCACAAACUAUAGUCUAAUGGGACCAUGUUUCGUACAUCCACCUAUGCCACUGCCAUCUUCUCUUGCGGAUCUUGCCGAGUAGAGGUACCACAGCAAGUUCCACCUGAGGGCAUGCAACAGCCACAAAGAUAUAGUGACCACACAUCUUGUGGGCGCCCGGCCCAUUAGGUAGUCCGCUCUAGAACUGUUAGUCAAUAGUUUAGUCACAAUCCAAAUAUAUUAAGGCUCCAAAAAAAAUUCGAAAGACUCCUUUUUCAUCAUUUUGUAAAUCAUGUGCCACAAGGAAGUAGCCUUUUUUGAUAGAAGUUAUGAUGAUUGUACUCGAAUUAGUCAAAGAGAUGUAGCCAAUGGUCCUAUACAUGUUUGCAUGUAGAAAUUAUGCAAGUUGAUACAUGGCCUUCCCCAUACUUGAAUUUUGGGUUCUCACUGCCCAUGCAUUGCCGAAGGUCUUGGGCUACUUCUUUGACACCUUGUUCACCGGCUGCUUCUUAGCGCCUUUCUUAAAAUCUCCCUUUGUCCACCUCACGUUGUUGGGGCCAUAAUUGGAGUCCUCAGAGCCAUAACGUACCAGGACCAUAUAUAUAUGGAACAUGCAUGAAUUCACCUGGAAUUACCUGGUUUAGUGAUUACUCCAUAGACCGUGGCUCUUCAAGUAGGUCUAUCAUAUCUAGAGCUAGCAGCUCAUAAUCAGCAAAUCAGGGGUGGUAUUUAGGGGGUUACUCGAUGAAGAAUCAAGAUACAUCUUUUCCUCGUUGUGCAAUAAGCUUAUCCAUGACCCCAUUCACAACUUGCGUAGUGACUUGACUAGUGGAAGGUCGAUCCAGCACCGGGCACCAGCAGACCACGAUGAAUGACGACGCCUGUGUGUCUGAGUGCUUCAGAGGAGGUUGUGAAAGCGUCGGUGCAUUAAGGUUGUCCGUUGUGUGGCUUUGGGUCUGAUUGGUUGCCCUAAAUGCCCGGGCCAACCUCCGCGUCAGAGCCAUGACGUACGAGCCAGGCCCCGCAUCCUCUCAUUGCACCUGCUUCCAGGCAACCAAUCAUUUGGAGUUGGACGGUGCAUCUCGCGGGCCUGUAAUUUGGGUCAUAUCUGCCUCACCAAUCACGCACUUUAUGUUUCUGGACCUUGGAGAGGCUGGGACGCCAUAUUAAUAAUGAUGGAUGAACGAGAGCAGACUAGUGCGGGCCUGUUCACUAACAAAGGUAAGUGCCAGAUUAGGUGUUUUUGUUCGCGUUUUGCUCUCUUCUCGACCACAAGAAAUACGUUUUCCAUAGUUCUAGUCGAGUUUUUUGAUCGCUUAAUUGGGGGUGAAGAAAGUAUUGGCGAUAAUCCAAAACCUUUGGCAAUCUGUCCGAAGCCAGGGGUAAAAUAAUUCGCAAGAAUGAAUGGACACAGGAAAGAAUACUGGAGAAUUGAAGACCUUCGCUUGCGGUUGUUACCUCUGGGUCGACUGUUACAUUUACAUUUGAACUGACCCAAAUUGGUAUAAAACGUACUCAACCUUUUCAAUCUCUCUAUAUGAACUCAAGCCUUCCACAAAUCACAUUAGGUCAGUUUCCACGGUUUCGUUGUACAGUUACUAAGACUGAGAAAUUGGUAACUGUACCUAAGGAGUGUCAUGGGGAUGAAACCCCUCUCACAUCUGAUGAAACUCUCACUUCUCCUUUCUCAUAAUGCCUUGCUAAGUCAACAAAAUUGCUGAUGUGGCAUACAAUUUAAUGCUCAUAAAACUCCCAUAAAAUUAGUAGGGAUGAUAGAGACUCAAGAUCUUAGUUGGUAUUCAAUGGUGCACCACUUAUCGCAAUAAAUGGUAUAGUUAAAUUAAAGUAUGGAAUGCAACAAAAUGGCAUGUGUCAAACAGUACACUCUACUCCCUCCAUCCCACAAAGGCUGUUCGUUUAUAAAAUUUUAGACAAAAUAGUAGCAAUGCUACAAGUCCAAAGUACUCCUAAUAACUCUUCUUAAUCGGAUGGAUUACCGAGUAGAAUUAAUUAUGCAUGCACGCUUGCAGUAAUUGUCGAACCUAUUAGUUUUCUUUAUUUAGUGAGUCUGGCUUGGGCAUGGAUGGUUGGAGAUGAUUGGAGUAAAUGAUCGAUUCGUUAACUGGGCCAGAAGGUAUUAUGAGGCCUUUGUUGAAGUGUCCAAAAAUUAUAUGGAUACUCUUUGUGGGACAAGUUUUGAAGGCUAAACGAACAAGUCUUUGUGGGACCGAGGGCGUAUGUGCGUAAGGUGAGACAAUUGUUUCUUUGCUAAAUAGUUGAUGAAAAUUGAUAGGCCAGCUUCCAUGACAAACUUCGGAAUGCAACACACCCUCACAAGAGGAAGCAAGUCAGCGCUCUAUGAUAUGGAAUUCAUCUCCACUAAUUACUUUUAUGCAUUGAUCCAUGCAUUUACUUUAGCGUACACAGAUACAAAUAUCCCUCAAUUCAUUUGCUUAUAACGAAUAAUUCAUUUUUGUCCUUGCUUCCUUCGAUGAUUAUUGGCAAUAACAACACGAAGUUGCCACAAUAAAUAUCAAUUUAUGAUAUGUUAUGAAAUGCAGAAUCUCCAAAUGCUAAUUAGAAAUUACUCCCAUAACAUGUAAUGUCCUCAUGAAAGGCCUCUAGCCUAGUGGAUAGAGUACCUGAGUAGCAUCAAGUAGGCUCGAGUUCGACUCCCCGUGGGAGCGAAUUAAAUAGGUUUAGAAUAAAAAAAUUAUAAAAAAUUAGGUAGGAAAACAUGUGAUGUCCUGGUCAAAAUGGUUUGCAGCUCUCCGGUAUUUGGUACCCUCCAUAUAUGACGAAUUAAGACUGCGAAUGUCCAAACCAUUCUGAUCGCCAAUUCAGACUGAUCACAUAUUUCAGUGAAUGACACACAUCUAAGAUUAAGCUUUCCACUUUCCAUGGUACCAUGAGGCAAAGGUAUGUCUUUGAAGUAUAUCAGGUUUCUUUCAAUAUGAUCCGAUGUGAAACUUUUUUGUGCCUCUUGGAGGUAGGGAAUUACAUUCAUAAUAGUUUCCACUACAUGCCAGUGACUCAGAGAAAUAAACUGACCAAAUCUGACCAAUCUAUGACUAGAGAUACAACUACUACAGAUCCUCAUUCGUGCUGACUUCUAAUAACCCAUGUCCCUGACGUUUAUGCAUGUGGCAAUAAUUUAGCGACAUGGAUAGUAGCUAGAGAGUCAUCUAUGCCAGAUGAACAAUCAGCUGUGAGAAUCAUUUCCCGUACCGGUUAUACAUGUUCUUUUUUAAGCCAGCAUGCAUAAUGUCAUGUGCCUGCCAACAUUAUCCUAGGGGCCAAUUCAAACAAUGUUAUAUAUGUGCCGUUUUUUCUUUUAAAGAAACGGGGAGAUAUGUUCAUUUACCAGUGAUGUCGGCGAAGGACGUUGGGUACCAGUUACAGAAGUUUGCAUAUUACAAAGUGAAGACCAGACCCUCACUCAAAAGCCUGAAUUGUAGCACAACCACGGACACAAAAGUUUGCAUAAGUGAACACAGACCCUAGCUCAAAGGGAUAAAUUGUAUCACAAGCACAGAGAACAAAUCCAAGUUCGCGUUAAUUUCAGCCCAUGAGUGAUUGCUGGCAGGAGGCUAAUGAAGAGCCUCGCCGCGCUGUGUGCUACAGGUGCUGCAUCUUCCCACACAGUGCGUGCGGCACGUGGUACUGUUUCAUUAUUGGAUGGUUCAGGAAGUAGGUCACCAUAUACCACCUUUCUAAAUUAUAUUCUUAGGUCAGAUUGACAAGAGAUGAAAAGUUGUAGUUUAACAGAAAAAUGUGAUGCAUAUUGAGAACAUGUAAUUUACGAUUCACAUAUUUUUUUCUAAAACACGAUUGCUACUUGAAAACUGCCUAUUAAUACCGGGGUUCAAACUCCACCUUUAAUCUCGGUUUUGAAGCCAGUAGUGCGAAUCCAGGACUCGAAGUCCUGACCUCGAGUAUUGGGUCACUCACCUGAUAAUAAAACGAUAAUUUAGGACCUGUUGGUAACACCAACAGAUAUUAAAAGGUUUUGCGUCAAGAAUAUAUUUCAAAUUUCGACAAAUCUUAAUUCACGUAAUUUUUCACGCGAAAUAUACACGUGCAGUGCGUAGGACUUAAACUUUGGACCUCUUGCCUCGUGUGUACCCUCGUUACCAUCGCACCUACACAAUACUGGGUACAUAAGAGAUGCUUUAUUUUUGAAAUAAUCUGUGGAUGACCCUUUACUACUGGUGCGGUAAGACAAAUCGGAAUGUUACUUUUAGUACCACCAACCGGUACUAAAGCCUCGAGAAGCAUUAGUACCGGGUGGCAAUACUAAGGUCCUGUUUGGGAGGAAGGGGCUAAAAUUUAGCCCUGGCUAAACUUUAGCCCUCUCAAAUAAAAGGGCUAAACUUUAGCACCUUGGGUGUUUGGGAAGAGGGCUAAAAUUUAGCACCUCUUCUGUAAAAUGUCCCUUUUGCCCCUGCCGUGCUGCCCCUCCCACCAUUUUCCUCUCAGUCGGAGUUGAGCAGGGGCUUCUCGGGCGGCCGCAGGGUGCAAGCGGCUAGCAGCAGCGGCGCCGGCGAGCGCGCCGAGGAGGCGGCGGAACGCGGCGGCAGGGCAGGGAAUGAGCCGGCGCGGCGCGGAUCCGGCUGCAGCGGCGGUGGCGAGGCGGACUGCUCUGGCGGUCUCCACUGAUGCCGCCGCCGCCGCCUUGCUGCACCAGUCCGCCGCCACCGACAAGCCGAAGCCAAGCGAUCCCCGCGGUCGCAGAAGGGCGCCGACGCCUCCUCGUCCUCCCUGACGCUGCGGCUCCACUCCCGAGACUUCCUCCCGGGUGAGCAGGGCCCUCCCUGGUGCUCUCCCGCCUCCGCCGCCCGAUUCGAUUCGGUUCGAGCCGCCGCGGCCGGAAGGAAUCUCGCAGGCCAGAGGAGGAACAACCCCUGGCCGAAUCGGCGAUGGCGACCCACCCGGCCUCCCCGACUGCCGGCGUCGGCGACGACAGGUUGCCGUCCGGGCCGCCGCCGGUGCGCCUGUCCGCGGCGCAGGCGAUGGCGGCGAUCCAACCCACCUCACCGUGGUUCUUCUUCUCCUCGCUGGCCGCGGCGUCCUCCCCGCACCGCCGCAUCGGCAUCGCGGUGGACCUCUCGGACGAGUCCGCCUUCGCCGUCAAGUGGGCCGUCCAGAACUACCUCCGCCCUGGGGACGCCGUCGUGCUGCUCCACGUCCGCCCCACCUCCGUUCUCUACGGCGCCGACUGGGGCUCCAUCCCGGUCUCCGUUGACGACGAGCCCGACGCCGGCAUCGCUGAGGGCGCGGCGCACGCCGCGGCCACCUCCGGGGAGGAGGAGACCGAGCCCGAGGAGGCGAAGAAGAAGCGGGAAGAAGAAGCGGAGGUGGCGGGACCGGCGGGCGAGGCGGAGGCAGUGGGGUGCCGUGCGGCGGGACCUAGCGGGGAGGAGUGAGAGGGAGGAGGGAGAGAGAGGGGUAAAGGGAGGAAUUUUGGACAAUGGGACCACUUUUAGCCCCUUUAGUCCAUUUUAGCACCUCUUGGAGGGCUAAUGGAUUAUGGAGGGCUAAAAUUUAGCCCCUCCAUUUUAGCCUAGGUGUUUGGGAGCACUAGGGGCUAAAAGUGACUAAAAUGGGGGUGCUAAAAUUUAGCACCCCCCUCCCAAACACCCCUUAACUAAUACUAAAAUCUAUGUUUUAGUACCAGUUGGUGUUACCAUCGAGGUACUACUAAUGCUAGCCGGUAUAUAUGUCGGAUGGAAAAUUAUUUUUCUAGUAGUGUAUGUACUCCCAGUUAGCACAAAGUUUUGCACACAGUGCUAGUUUUACGAUGCCCGCAAACGUCCCCUAAGGGCCUGUUUGACCCAAACGAUGAUGACAAAGUGCGGAGACUACGUGCAGCGGCCAGGAAUGCAAUCGGGUGGGAAGUGCUGGGAAGGAUAUGACAGCCAUGUAGAGGUAACCCGAACUGUUACACCUAACUAUCACGCUCGACUGCAGAGGUCCCUAAUGGAAAGAUUAUACGAGUGGAAUUCGACAGAAACAUUAUUAUCAAUGGUAAAAUAAUGACGAACAAAAUUAAUUUUUUGAUUAUUAGUCGAGGGACAAGAACGUUCCGCGGUGAAAAAUAACCAUGCGUAGCAAAAAUAAUGGUGGACUGGUGGGAGGAACCAUCACUGACAAAGGAAGAAGACGGAGGUCAGUGGGAAGCCAGAAGUAUACAGCCAUAUGAAGCCAUGUGAGAUGUGGCUCCAUGAAUCCAUGCCACUCACCGGAUAGACAUGGCAGUAGCGACACGGUGGUAAAGGGAGUUCAAUAGAGGGACCUGAUGCCACGGACCAGUGCCGGAUGUCCACGGCGCUGGGUGGUGGGUCAGGCAGGUGUGCCUACACGCCCACCGACCACCGAGCGCUGGAACACCAAAUUAAAGCCAGGUACAGCUAGGACAGAGAUCUCCAGGAUGGGCAGCAGAGACUGUUAGAAGCCAGGUCCAUGUGUUCUAGAAACAUGGAUGCCAAGAGAUAACCAGCAGGGUAAUGAACACCGGCGGCUAACAUGCGGAAGCGAGGGUUGCAAGAUGCGAACCAUUCGUGAUACUCGUGAUCCUAGAACACAUGCACCUAGCUGCUCCGCGUGCGCUCUCGAGUCUUGUCGUUGUUUCUUAUUAGCAUUACUCCAAUCUACUCAUGCAGCAUCAGGAUCGGAUGAGAUUGAGUUGGUAAUCGCAAUAACGUUCUUUAGCAUACUUAGAUAGAGUAUGCUAAGGCAAGGAAUUAUAUUUAAUUAAAAGCAGCAUAGUGUAUAACCAUUCCUGAUCAUGCCACAGCGCAUACUAGAGUACAAAGAGAUAUGCAAAUUUGUGGUUGUUGGCAUAAAACAUUGUCUACAGUUCUCCGUUUAUUAUUCAGAUUACCUUGAACAACUCUUGCACCCUUUUUUUGGAUAUAUUAUACAUCUACUGGUUGUUUAUGACUGUCACUGUAUUUCUGGACAUUAACUUUUCUGUACACUGUUUUAUCUAAUAUAUAGAACUUAGACAUGCAGCGGCAAGCACAUAAUAUACGGCAUAUCAACCCAGCAUAACUUCAUCACACCACCAUGUGUCCUGGUUUGUAGUGACAGAUGGGAAAAUGACUUCCAUUCCUGCAUCAUACUUUUGGGUGGCCCCAACCACCACGUGAUCCACGCGUUGCAAUAUUGUAAUAGUUUAUAUAUAUGAUAAUUACUCCAGCUGUCCACCACCUCACAAUCAUACGUAUAUCAGACGUCAAUUCUCCAACAGUUGAGCUAACACUAGCUUUAUGCUUAUAUCCAUCUCAUAAAAAUUAUAGCUAAGAGAUAGCUUCUCCAAUAAUUUGUUUUCUAACCCAUUGCUCAAACCAUCUUGCACUAUUAGAAAAAUAACAUUUCGUCCCUCCUUAGCACCUGCUACAUUUUGACCUAGGUAUUAAUCCUAAUAUUAGUACCGGGUCCAAAUUUAGUAGCCUCCGGGGACCUUUUAGUACUGAGUCAUAACACCACCCGGUACUAAAAGAUCACUUUCAUGGGUUACUUCAAAAGAAAAGCAUCUCUUAGUCCAUAACAUGUGAUGUGUAAGUAAGAGGGUAAGAAGGUUUAUGCCAGACUUGAGGUCACGGGUUCUAAUCCCAUGCACCACACAUGUGCAUAUUGAGUGUGAAAAAUGCGUGUAGGUGAGAUGGUAAAGAAGAUUUGUGCCAAGUUUGAGGUCGCGGAUUCGAAUCCCAUGCACCACAUAUGUGCAUAUUAAGUGUGAAAAAUGCGUGUAGGUGAGAUGGUAAGGAAGGUUUGUGCCAGGUUUGAGGUCGCGGGUUCGAAUUCCAUGCACCACGCAGAUACAUAUUAAGUGUGGAAAAUGCGUGACUUGGGAUGUUGCGCAUGUAUGUGAGCCUCCGGAUUGUUAAAAAAAAUAUUUUGUUAUUUUUUGAGCACAAAACCAUUUAGUACCGUUGGUGAUGUUACUGACCAGUACUAAUUUGGCCCUACCAGGUGGAUGACCCAUGCAUGCUAAAGAGACCACUGGUGGAGAACUGAAGACCAGUACUAAUUUGCGCAUAUAUUACAUCUACUGGUUGUUUAUGAAACUAACUGUCACUGUACUUCUGGACAUUAACUUUUCUGUACACUGUUUUAUCUAAUAUAUAGAACUUAGACAUGCAGCGGCAAACACAUAAUAUACGGCAUAUUAACCCAACAUAACUUCAUCACACAUCCAUGUGUCCUGGUUUGUAGUGACAGAUGGGAAAAUGAUUUCCAUUCCUGCAUCUUACUUUUAAGUGGCCCCAACCACCACGUGAUCUACGUGUUGCAAUAUUGUAAUAGUUUAUAUGAUAAUUAGUCCAGAUGUCCACACCUCACAAUCAUACGUACAUCAGAUGUCAAUUCUCCAACCAUUUAGUAUAGAUUGAUGUUACUUACCUGUACUAAUUUAGCCCUAGCAGGUGGAUGAACCAUACUAAAGAGGCCCCUUUAGUAUCGACUUCGCGAUAUGGGUUGUGAAACCGGUACUAAAGAGUUUAAAGACGGUACUAAAGCUCACUCCUGGAAAACAUGGUUUAGUACCAGUUGGUUUUUGACCCAGUAAGAAUAUGAGCACUAGUACCGGGUCUAACAGCUAGUUCCUCAGGAGCCACCCGUAACCCCCUUUAGUACCGGUUGGGGGCUCCAACUGGUACUAAAGGUCACUCAUUAGUACCGGGUGGAGCUUGCACCCGGUACUAAUGCCCUCAACCCUAUAAAUCAGGUGUUUUCUAUAAAUCAGGCGUUUUCUUUCUCCUGCGUGAGCUAUUUCCUCCAGCUCAGGCUUCAUCCAUUCAUGACAAAAUAGGGGAGGUGCUGCCGGAUUUUUGACUAUUUCAUGAGGAUUUCACUCAUUCAAGUGUUCUAAAGGUUAGAAGCUUCAUCCUCCCUUUAUAUAUGGUUCGUAUACUAAGUUUAAUGCUUUAGAGCUAGAGUAAUUUGUGAUUUUUAGAAUAAGGUACAAUGGAGAAAUUUUUCAUUUAUAUGUUAUGUUUAAGCUAAAUAAAUUGUGGGGAAAAAAUAAUUUGUUCGUAGUUUAGUCAUUCGCAAAUAUAAGAUAAAUAAAUUAUGGUACAUAGAGAUGGCUACUGUUGCUAGAGGUAGUGGCGAUGGUGGGGGCGAUCGUUGUUCCUAUCGCGGCAAGGGGAAAACCAUAAUUGGCCCUCAUGAUAAGCCGAAGAAAAUGAACACGUGGGAGAGAGGAAUGCUUCAUUAUUUGAAAAGAUGUCAUGAAGAUGCUGUUGUGGUGGGUCCGAAACCUCCUUUUGGUGGUUGUUAUGUCCCACCGCCAGUCCCUAAUUGGCCCUCAUGAUAAGCCGAAGAAAAUGAACACGUGGGAGAGAGGAAUGCUUCAUUAUUUGGAAAGAUGUCAUGAAGAUGUUGUUGUGGCGGGUCAGAAACCUCCUUUUGGUGGUCGUUAUGUCCCACCGCCAGUCCCGGGGGUUUCCGGUCCACUGAGUACUACCAUCGCAGGAGGCACAAAUAAACCACAGGAUGAGGCUGGGUCAGCGAAACCUUCAUCUUCACCGUCCAAGGAUGCUUAAAGUCCUCCUAGAUAGAACUGAGUGGAUGGUUUGUCGUAGUGUAUCAUGUUGUUUGGGUCUGAAAUUUAAAUUUGUGUAUUUCUAUCUAAACUUUCAGCAACAUUUGAGUUUGUCGUAGUGUAUCAUGUUGUUUGGGUCUAAAAUUUAAAUUUGUGUAUUUCCAUCUAAACUUUCAGCAAUAUUUGAGUUUAAUACAAUUUGUAUUAUGUUUGUUAUGUUUCAUAUAUAGUUCUAUGGAUGAUCAGAAUAUCUUUGGUUCAGUAAUACUUUGUACAUGGAUCGGCAAUGGAUGUAAAACAUAGACAAAUGCUCCAUGGAGUACAUUAAUGGACUGCAUGGUUUUCUCGAUCUGACAGAGUCCAACAAGCCGUCGCCUAGUUUCUUUUGUUGUCCAUGCUGAAUUUGCAAAAAUUAGAAGGAUUAAUCAUCCAUAAAGACUAUCCACUCCCACAUAUACAGUUCGGGAUUCAUGACUAACUAUUUCGUUUGGACCAUGCACGAGAAAAGAGGAGUUAUGAUGGAAGAUGAUGAUAGUGAAGAAGAUGAUAACUACAUUCCUAACUUGACUCAAGGAGGUUCCUUUGCAGAUGCUGCAAUGGGUGAGGCUGAAGAAGAGAUGGUUGCAGAAGAAGGUCCUACCAAUGAUCUAGGUCAGGUGUUGUGAGAUGCGAAGGAAGACUGCGAGAAUUUGAAGGAGUCAAACAAAUUUGAGCGUAUGUUAGAUGAUCAUAAGAAAUUGUUGUACCCAGAUUGCAAGCAGAGGCACAAAAAGUUGGGUACCACACUGGAAAUGCUGCAAUGAAAGGCAAAAAAUGGAGUUUCUGACAAGAGUUUUAUGAGUUAAUGAAAAUAAUGAAGAACAUGCUUCCCGAGGGGAAUGAAUUGCCAUCCUCAACGUACGAAGCGAAGAAGGUUGUUUGCCCUCUAGGUUUGGAGGUACAAAAGAUACAUGCAUGUCCUAAUGACUGUAUCCUUUAUCGCGGUGAGAAAUACGAGAAAUUGGAGGCUUGUCCUAUAUGCAAAGCACCAUGUUAUAAGAUCAAGCGAGAUGACCCUGGUGAUGUUGAUGGGCAGGCUAGCAAGAAGAAAGUUCCUACGAAGGUAUUGUAGUAUUUCGCUGUAAUACCACGCUUGAAGCGUUUGUUUGGAAACAACGCACAUGCAAAAUUGAUGCAUUGGCACAAAGAAGAAUGUAAGCAAGAUAAAAUGAUCAGACAUCCCUCUGAUGGGUCCCAGUGGAGAAUAUUUGAUAGAGAAUUUCCUGAGCUUGAAAAGGAUGCAAGGAACAUACAGUUUGGUUUAAGUACAGAUGGAUUGAAUCCAUUUGGUGAGUUUAGUAUAGCACUUGGACUGUGACCUUAUGUAUGUUCAACCUUCCACCCUGGAUGUGCAUGAAGUGGAAGUUUAUUAUGAUGCUGGUAAUUAUCCAAGGCCCAAAAUAACCUAGCAAUGACAUUAAUAUUUAGCUAAGGCCGUUGGUUGAUGAAUUUUUACUAUUAUGGAACGAAAAUGUGUAUGUGUGUGGGAUGAGGACAAAAAGGAGACUUUUAAUCUAUGAGUAUUGUUGUUCGUAACCAUCAAUGAUAGGCUAGCGCUUGGUAAUCUGUCCGGAUAGACAAACAAGGGAUAUCGAUCCAGCACGCACUGUUUAGAUGAUACUUGUAGCAUAUAUUUGAAACACUGUAGGAACAUCAUGUAUACGGGCCAUCGUCAAUUUCUUCCUGCUAAGAACCCGAUAAGAAAGAAAGGGAAGCAUUUUAAAGGGAAGGAAGAAAAACAUACUAAACCCAUUCACCGUAAUGGUAAACGUGUAUUUUCUAUGAUAAAGGAUGUGACGGUAGUCUUUGGCAAGGGCUUUGGUAGCCAACUUGUUUCGAAUGACGAGAACGGACAUGCACCCAUGUGGAAUAAGAAUUCUAUAUUUUGGGAGCUACGUUAUUGGAAAGUCCUUGAGGUCCAUAAUGCAAUCGAUGUGAUGCACCUAAUGAAAAAUCUUUGCGUGAACGUGUUUGGCUUCCUGGGUACAUAUGGAAAGGCAAAGGAUACAAUAGAAGCACGUUGGGACCUGAAAAGUAUGAAACAACGAGAUGGCCUACAUCCAGAAAAAAGAGAUGAUGGACAUUACUUGCAUCUUGCUAGUUAUAUUCUCAGUAAGGAAGAGAUUUUUGUUCACCUUAUUGAAGAGAUUUUUUGUUCUCAAUCCUGUAUUUCUACACAAUAUGUUCCCUUUCGAGAGGUUUAUGGCAGUUCUGAAGAAGUAUAUUCAUAAUCGUGCCUGUCCAGAAGGAAGCAUCGCAAUGGGAUAUGGAACAAAGGAGGUCAUCGAGUUUUGUGUUGACUUUAUUGACGAUCUGAGUUCGAUGGGAGUCCCUAUAUCACGCCAUGACGGGAGACUCAUGGGAAAUGGCACACUAGGGAGGAAAGCUCAAAUGGACAUCAAUGAGAGUACAUUUCGUAAAGCACACUUCAUGGUCCUGCAACAAUAAUCCCUAGUGGAUCCAUACUUGGAGGAGCACAAGAACAUUGUACUGUCCACAAACCAGGUGAAGAUUGAGGCCUAGAUUACAUGUCAUCACAUUGACACUUUCGCAUCUUGGUUGCAACGAGGACUGAUGGGUGAUGAUACAAUUGAAGAGCAACUGCAUGGUUGGCUAGAGGUCCAUCUAUCUUAGUAUCGACAUUCCAAGGAUACGAGAUAAAUGGGUACACAUUUUACACGAUAGCCCACGACCAAAAGAGCACAAACCAAAAUAGUGGUGUCUGUAUAGAUGCAAUAAAUAACAAUGGAAAAAAUGAUAGAUACUAUAGUGCCAUUGAGGAGAUGUGGGAACUCGACUAUGGACCUUUGAAAAUCCCUCUGUUUCGGUGCCAAUGGGUCAAAUUUGCUGGAGGAGGCGUUACGACAGACAACUAUGGGAUGACAAUAAUGGACCUAAAUAAGAUUGGAUACAGAGAUGAACCGUUUGUCCUAGCCAAUGAUGUGUCUCAAGUUUUAUAUGUGAAGGACAUGUCAAGCAAACCAAAACAGAAGGGUGCUAAUAAGUCAGAUGACCAGCCAAAGCACCACAUAGUUCUUCCAGGGAAAAGAAAAAUCAUUGAAGUUGAGAACAAAAUUAACAUUUCAUAUGAUUAUGAUCAGUUCGAUGAUCUUCCUCCAUUUUCAGUCGAGGUUGACCCAAGCAUCCUGUUAGCCAAAGAGGACACUCCAUACUUACACCGCGAUCACAACCAAGGGACGUUCGUCAAGAGGAAGGUUAUUAACGUUCCAUUAGAUGAUGAUGUGCAAUGUAUUAGAACCAUUAUGCUAUGUUUUGUGGUCAAGUGUGAAAUUAAUGUAAUAACGCAUUGUAAUGAUAUGUAAUGUAUUGGGGCCAAGUGACAAAGUUUUGUGGUCAAGUGACAAAGUAAUGUAAUAACGUUCUAUGGAGUUAUUAAACAAGAACUAAUUUUUGCAUGGUUAAAAUAUUAAUUAUUUUGAUUUUUUAGUACCAUUAAAUACUAAAUAAUAAAUUUAGAUACAAUUAAACAAGUACAUGACUAAGUCAUGGUAAACAUGUUAAUAACACUACAUACACUAUUUUUAUAGAUUUUGCAUGGUCAAAAUAUUUAUUUUUUCUAAUUUUUAAGUUAACAUAAGUUUUUUGACCAUUUAUAACCUAUUACUAACUUAAUAUUACUAAUUUUACUAUGUUUGAUAUUUAAUUGCAUCUAAUAUUUUUAUUGUGUAGAUCAAAUCAACAUCAAGAUAACAAUUUUUUUUUGCAAUUUUAUGUACGUUAUUUAAUUUACAAUGCAAUAAAUAAAUAUAAUAGCAAUUUUAAAAGAAAGAAAAUAAAACAUUUGUCUUGGCGGGAACUGCACCCGGUACUAAAACGGUGCGUUUUCGUUUCACGCGCGGCGCACACCCUUUAGUACCGGGUGUAGCUACCAACCAGUACUAAAGUGAUGGCCUUUACUACGAGUAGUAACCACCACCCGAUACUAAACGGCAUUAGCACUGGGUGGGGGUGAGGCCCACUACUAAAGGGGGAGGAUAAAAACCCCAUCCCCUUCCUCCCCAACACUUAGCCACGAUUGUCACCCCCUUCCUCACCGGAUCCUCCGCCGCCGCCCCUCCUCCACGCCACCUGCCGCCGUCGUGUGGCACCCCCAGCACCUUCUCUGAUGCCACACGCCCCCGUUGACCUCAUCGCCGCUAUCACCCCCGUCGCGUGCGCGCCUCCGUCGCACCCAUCACCGACGCCACCCCUCCUCGAUCGGCACCGCCUCCUCCUCCACCAUACCAGCGCUGCCUCCACUCCGAUACCACCGGCCUCCCGCCCGACACCGACGCUGCCCCCGACCCGGCCGUCGGUGCCUCCCCCACUUCGCCACCUCUCCUCCACCGCCGCCACCCCUCCUCUACCGUACCGGUGCCACCUCCUCCACUCCAUGCCAGCUUCCUCCCCGUUGACGCGCCGCCGGCCAGCCACCCCGACACCGGCGCCGCCCCCGACCCGGCUGCCGGCACCUCCACCACUCCGACACCGCCGGCACCGCCCCCAACCCAUACUCUCCGCUAUCAGAAGCUCGAGGGGCUGAUCUCAUUUUUUUUAAAAUUUUUUAUUUCUAGAAAUGUUGAAUUAGCUAGAAAAUAUGGAAAAAAUGUUGAAUUAUCUAGAAAAUAUAGAAAGUUUCUUGAAUUAGCUAGAAAUCCUAUUAAUUGUUAAUUGUACAGCAUGCUAUGUUAGAAAAUUGUGUUAAUUGUUAGAAAUGUCUAGAAAGACUAGAAAACUACUUUGAUACUUUUAGAAAUUACCAAAUUAUUUUAGAAAUCGUGUUUAUUUUGUUAGUCAAUUAUUGUUACAAAAUGUAUAAAUAUUAGUCAUUCAUUCCAUAGUCAAUCAUUGUUACAAAAUGUAUUUAGUCAUUCUUUUUUUGUCAUUUACUAGCAAUUCACAGUAAACAAUAAUUGUUGUAGUCAUUUAUUGUAACAAAUUGUAUAGGUGUUUAACUCUCUUCUUGUUGUCAUUUACUAGCAAUUCACAGUAAAUAUUAUUGUAGUCAUUUAUUAUAACAAAAUGUAUAAGUGUUUAAUUUAUUUUUUUGUUGUCAUUUACUAGCAAUUCACAGUAAAUAUUGUUGUAGUCAUCAGUGGGUAAUGUCGACGUAAGCCCCUCUCAACGUUGAAGCAGCGUCGCUUCCACAGAAACCCCAGCUGGAGAAUCUUCAGACAUGGUUGAGAACAACCAAUGCCACUCCAUGUAUUACAUCACUAGGUGGGCCCCUUGUGAACUUGUUACUCCCAUGAAAAAUAAGCUCAUCGUGGUGGCUUAUAGUGUGGUUGAACAAACAACAUAAGGCAUAACAAUUCAUGGCGUGGAGAUUCCAGCUCGUGGUUACACCAAAGUUGGGGUGGACUGAGUGGUCAACGGUUGGGAUGACCUCGAACUGGAGGUACCUAGAGGUGACAGGGAAAAGAAUGUAGGAGAAGCCAUCCAUGGUUGGAUUCUAUGGCCCAAGCACUACUUAAGGAUUCCGCAACCAAAUCCCCCAACCUUGGGAUUAUCUCCUUAGGGCUCAAGGGCAAGAUCACCUACGCUAUCUGCCAGGGCACGCUCUCCACUAGCGGACAGGGAUCCUAGCAUGAGUCCACUAUCUGACAGGGAUCCUAGCAUGAGUCCACCUCCCCCUAUUAUGAGCAAGGCUACAUGGCAAAAGACGCUCUUAGUUUUGACUACAAAGAAGAAGCAGAAGCAGCCGAAGGAGAAGUAACCAGAGCCUAAGAAAGCUUACGAGAAGAUUGAUGUGGAAAUCAACGUAGUAGUGGAUGUUGAGGUUAAAGCUCACUUCGUACCAAAGUCUCCCAUGAAGAAAGAUCCACCACUUGAUAAGGUUAAAUUUCGGGCUUUCAUUAGAGGCAUGGAGUUGGAGAAAAAGAAAAAGCCAGAGAGCAACCACCACUAUUUGACUACAACAGCACAAUAACAAAGACUUUUCAGAAGAAAAAGAAAAGUAGGUCAAGUAUUCCAUAGCUUGGAACCCAAUCCAACUAAUCGAUUGCCCCACUCCAGGUGAUUUCAAAGUUUGAUAAGAACCUGCUUCUAUAUGCUAAAGAUACAAAUCUCAUCGUAGCUCAACUUCGAGGGGAGGAUCACAUCCCAAAGCACCAUGGGGCUGGUAAAUGAAAAUUUGAGUUAGGGAAAGAGCUUGUGUGGCUGUAGUUGGUGGACUGUCUUUCAAUAAAGAUGUACAAAUUGCACCAAUGGUACAUGGAGGCUUCAGCCACCGGUUUACUCAUGCUAGAAGUUCGGAUUGGAGAUCAGUAUUAUUUUCAUGGUGAUGCCAUUAUAAAUGUGCCACUCAAGGAACUUUAUUUCCUUUACAAUAUCAAGACGCACUUAACAAAUCACUCAUUAGUUCUUAUGUUCUAUAAGUGUUUAAUUUGCUCUAACUUCAAAAUCUUCGCUCUAGUCAUUGUGGGAUGUCUUAUCUCCUAUUCUAUUUUGUAUCAUGCAGGAUGGAGAUUCAAGCUUGCCGAAGGAUAGGAUUGUAUGACGUCGGCUUCAUGGACUCGGAUAUUAUAAACAAGACAGAUGUAAGAGAUAAAUAAAAUCGGACCUUGAAGAAUAUAUAUAACUUCUUGGACAAGCAACAUUAGAAGAAGUACAUACUUCUGUCGUACAACUUCAAGUGAGUGUGUUUCCCAUCUCUUUUAUUUUUUGAACUAGCAGUAAAAGUAAGACUAAGUAGCUUUUCACUAUGCAUAUAUGUACAGCUUCCACUAGAUACUCCUUGUUAUCGUGGUUGAUCAAGGCAUGGUCUAUAUCCUGAACUCUCUAAGGAGACCAAGAAAUCAAUACACCGAUGUCAUAGACAUUCUUAAUAGAGCAUGGGCUCGCUUCCAUCAACGUCACUCAAGUGAAUUUAAGGAGCAACUUCAUAUCCACUUUGAAUUCCCGGUAUGUAUUGAAUUUGCACAUCUCAUGUCACUUCCUUGAACCCAACAAAUAUUUCAUAACUUCUUUUACCGUAUAUAUAGUGUUUGAGAUAGAAUCUGAAGAAUAAUUUAUGCGGAUACUACGUAUAUGAGUGUAUCCAUGGCUUUGUAGGUUCCAAGCGUAUAACUGACCAUGAGUUCAGAGUACGUAUACAAAUUUCUUAACAAUAAAUUAAUUCUAAUUGUUCAGAUCCAUUGAUCUAAUAUAAUAACCUUUGCUAAUGACAUAGAUUAUGCACAUGAAAGAGGAACUCCUCGAGAUAGAAAAAAUCAGGGCAAUUCAAUAACAACUUAGUGGAAUUCUUUUAGAUGAGGUAGUAAAUCCAGUAGGAGAGUUCCAUAAUGAUGGAUCAAAUAUACAUCACCGUCAGGACUCGGGUCCAGAAUAGUUGAUCUAAAAUGUUGAACUUGGAGAGUUGAUGCAACGUAAUAUUAUUCAUAUACGUGUAUGCACAAUAUGUCUAUGUAUAAUAUUAUCUUAAUUGUAAUAUUAUAGAUCAAAUACAACUUCAUAUAUUGCGUAUUCGUAAGAAAAAAAUACAAAAUACUAAUAUAGAAUAAAGAAACAGAAAAGAAAAGAAAAGAAAAGAAAUAUAAAAGAAAAAAAGAAUUUAGUAUCGGUUGGUCUCCCCAGCCAGUACUAAAGGAACCCUUUUGUACUGACUUAGCAAUACUGGUUGCACAAUUGGUACUAAAGGGGGGUUUGGACCUAGUACUGAAGGCGCUUCCUCAGCAGUGGCUCACCUCUCCAUUAGUGUUGGGGAGCCCACUCUAUCGCUUUAUCGUCUCUCUUCCAUGUAAGCAAAAUGAUACUUGGCCGGCCUCCUAUGAGCCAGCUGAGUUGUUAUUGAUUGAGGACGCCUCACAGAUGCUUUCCAGUAGCAGGCCGAUAGGCAUUAUUUAAACCCUUCGUAGGCACUAACCCAGCAAUAGCAUCACAACGUUUUGUGACAAACGUAACACACAGAGUGACGGAGAGACAAACUACAAUGUCGGCAGGUUCCAAGAGCGUCCUAGUUCCCACUGAUGCCGAGCUGCUGCAGGCACAAGCAGAUCUAUGGCGCCACAGCCUCUACUACCUCACCUCCAUGGCGUUCAAGUGUGCCGUCGAGCUCGGCGUCCCAACUGCCAUCCAUAACCUGGGAGGGGCUGCAUCGGUGAAGGACCUGGUAACAACACUAUCCCUCCCGGAAACUAAGCUGCCGUUCCUGCGCCGUGUGAUGCGGUUGCUGGUCACCUCUGGCAUCUUUGCAUCUGAAAGCAGCGCCGAUGUGGAGACCUACCGCCUCAACCCUCUCUCCUGGCUCCUGGUGGAAGGUGUGGAUGCUGAAGACCACACCAACCAGAGAAGUUUCGUGUUAGCCACUGUCUCGCGGCAUUAUGUUGAAGCAGCGAUGUCCCUUGCUGACUGGUUCAAGAAGGAUUUGGCGCCCCCUCUCCCAUCGCCGUUCGAGGAACUACAUGGUGUGCCACUCCUUCAUGAGAAAACACCACUCUUGGACAAAGAUCUUCACGACGUUGUUCUUGAAGGUUUGGCAGCACAUGACAAUUUGGCAAUAGGAACAAUUAUGCGGGAGUGCCAUGAUCUUUUCCGGGGGGUGCAGUCGCUAACUGACUGCUGUGGGGGAGAUGGCACCACGGCGAGGGCUAUCGUCAGGGCCCACCCUAACAUCAAGUGCACCGUGCUUGACCUACCAGAAGUCAUCAAGACUGCACCAGCUGAUGGUGUCAUAAACUACGUUGCGGGUGACAUGUUCAAAUCUGUCCCGCCAUCUCAAGCUGUGUUGCUCAAGGUAUGAAGUGGUAAAAAAGAUUAACUAGGGGCUAUUCUUCCAUGCACGGUAUAUUGUUGAAAAAAAGUUAUAUGAGCAUCCAUUUGUGCUUUUGAAAUUGACACUUGUAUUAAGCAUUAUCAUUAUAUCCCCAUCUUAUUAUUAGAACUUCACUAAAUGCAAUAUAGAUUUAUGAUUUUUGACAACUUUCUGUAGCUUGUACUGCAUCACUGGAGCGAUGAGGAUUGUGUGAAGAUCUUAGAACAAUGCAAGAAGGCAAUUCCUUCCCGAGAAGAGGGAGGGAAGGUGAUCAUUAUAGAAAUAGUUCUUGGCCCUUCUUUAGGUCCAAUAAUGUUUGAAGCCCAACUCCUGCUGGACAUGCUCAUGAUGGUGAAUACCAGAGGCAGGCAGAGGGAUGAAAAUGACUGGCGUGAAAUUUUCAUGAAAGCAGGGUUCAGUGACUAUAAGAUUGUUAAGAAAGUGGGAACUCGUGGUGUUAUCGAGGUCUACCCAUAAGACUACUGCAGUCCUAAAUGAAGAAUA